rnacentral:lncRNA from 1 species
UCAAGUAAAUGCAGUGAGGGAGAUGCUGAGGAUUACGGAUCAGGAAUCCAACACGGCUUUACAUGAAGCAGCAGGGUGUGGCAAUGUCAAAGUGGUGAAAGCAUUGUUGGAGUUUGAAGACCCUGAUUUUCCGUAUUCUGCCAACAAAAAACAGGAGACUCCACUUUACAUAGCAGCUAGGAGGCGAGGAUCUGGGCGCUUGUUGACUCUAUUAUUAGAUAAAUUCAGAUCAGCAGCAGCUCAUGGCGGCCCCCAGGGUAGAACAGCUUUGCAUGCAGCAGCUAUGGCUGGAGAUGCAGGUAUGUUGUUGAGUUAGUUCCUUUUUUUUUUUUUUUAAUUUUGAAAUAAAUAAACAGCAGGUCUAUUGACAUUUUUUUUUUGCUUGGAUUUAGAGGCAGUAAAGGUAAUAUUAAAGAAGAAGGGGAAUUUGACAAAGGAAAGAGAUGAAGAUGGACGCACCCCUCUUCAUUAUGCUGCACACUUUGGUUCUAGAUUAUCAGUUGUGGAAGAACUGUUAAAAAGGGAUGUAUCAGCUGCCUAUAUAGGUGAUAAAAAGAGGGGGAUGUGUUGCGCGGAAGCGUGUGAAAGAGUAAAAUUAUUGUACUGAAAAAUCACACUAAGUUCAAUUCCCAGGAAAGAGAGGUGGAUCACGAGGAUCGCUUACAUACCAGAUCUUUCCUAGCCAGAAUAUCCCUCUAUCGUAAUUUAAUAGCACAAUAAAUCACUACAAUGACACUUGCAAAAUAUGCAGAACAAAAAUAAAGAACACUAGAAUUUUAACGAGGUUCAGCAAAUUUUGCCUACGUCCUCGGGCACUACCAAAUAUAUUUCACUCCAAAAAUACAAGUGAAAGUUUACAAAUAGGGAGAGAGAACAAUUGCCUUAAGUAGAGAAUGGCAAGUGUGGGAUGAAGAAAGUAAGAGAUGGUUAGGCCUAUUUAUAGUUGAGGUUUAAGGAUCAACUUGCAAUGUCCCUAUACAAUUAGGGACCAAAAUUGCAAUUAUCCCAUGCCAACUUUUAACCCAACUUGCCAACCAAUCUUACUUUCUACUUUCGGUGCCUUUCGGUGCCAACUUUCUGCCACUAUUCAUCUUUGAAAAGUCAAAGAUUGUAGGUAUCCAAUAAUCUCCACCUUGAAGAUUUGAUUAGGAUAAUCUUAUCUUCACACAAUUCUUUCUUCCUUUGACAAUAAUACUUGAUAGUGCCUUCUUCAACUGUUAAACUUGCAGGAUAUUGAUCAAGUUCAAACAAUAUUUGAACUUGGUUGUUGUUACCACCUUGGUCAUCAUAUCUGCGGGAUUAUCUGUAGUCUUGAUCUUCUGAAGACAAAUUUUCCCCUCUUCAAUAAUUUCCUGCACAAAAUGGAAUCGUACGUCGAUAUGUUUUGUACGUGCAUGAUAGACUUGAUUCUUUGCUAAAUGAAUAGCACUUUGACUAUCACAAUACACGUUAAUAUGCUCCUGAACCAACCCCAAGGUUUUAGCCAUACCUUGUAACCAAAUAGCCUCCUUUACAGCCUCUGUUACAGCCAUGUACUCGGCUUCUGUGGUUGACAAUGCAACUGUAGACUGUAGUGUAGACUUCCAACUUAUUGGUCCUCCAGCAAGUGUAAACACAUAACCGGUGGUUGAUCUUCGCUUGUCCAAAUCACCGGCAUAGUCAGAAUCAACGUACCCAAUAACACCUUUACCAAGUGUAUUAUCCUGCUUGAACAGUAAUCCAACAUCCACGGUUUUCUGAAUAUACCGUAGAAUCCAUUUCACAGCUUGCCAAUGUCCUUUUCCAGGAUUAUGCAUAUACCUGCUCACUAUACUAACUGCCUGUGAAAUGUCGGGUCUUGUACACACCAUUGCAUACAUCAAGCUACCCACUGCAUUAGAAUACGGAACUUGCAACAUGUAUUCUCGUUCCGUAUUCGUCGAAGGAGAUAGUUGUGCAGAAAGCUUGAAAUGAGAAGCCAACGGGGUACUUACAGGUUUGGUAUGCUCGUUCAUACCAAACUGCUGUAGUACUUUCUUCAAAUACUGCUUCUGAGACAAGCUAACUCUGCCAUGAGCUCUAUCUCUACAUAUUUCCAUGCCAAGAAUCUUCUUAGCUUCACCUAGAUCUUUCAUCUCAAACUCGAGAUUGAGUUGAGUCUUCAAUCUCUCAAUCUCAACUUUGCUCUUAGAUGCUAUCAGCAUAUCAUCAACAUAUAAGAGCAAGUAUAUGAAAGUUCCUUCUUGUAGCUUCUGAAAAUAUACGCAAUGAUCAAAUUUACUUCUUGUGUACCUUUGCCCUUUCAUGAACUGAUCAAAUCGCUUGUACCACUGCCUCGGAGAUUGUUUCAAUCCAUAAAGCGACUUUGUCAGUUUGCAAACCCAAUUUUCUUUAUCAGCAACAUUGAAUCCAUCAGGCUGAGUCAUAUAGAUUUCCUCUUCCAAAUCACCAUGUAAAAAUGCUGUCUUCACAUCAAGCUGAACUAGUUCAAGAUCGUAUUGCGCAACCAAGGCUAGUAAAAUUCGAAUAGACGAAUGCUUCACAACUGGAGAAAACACUUCAUUGUAGUCUAUUCCUUCUUUCUGAGCGUAACCCUUUGCUACCAAUCUAGCCUUGUAUCGAAUUAUAUUUUUACCAGGAAAUCCUUCCUUCUUUGCAUAUACCCAUUUGCAUCCAAUUGCCUUCUUUCCCUUGGGCAGUCUCACCAACUCCCAAGUCCUAUUUUUAUGAAGAGACUGCAUUUCUUCAUUCAUAGCUUGCUUCCACUUUACACCAUCAGAGUUACUUAUUGCUUCUGUGUAAGUGGAAGGAACAUCAUCAUCUGCAAUUGGAAGUGCAUAGGCCACCAUAUCAUCAAAGCGAGCAGGCUUACGAAUCUCUCUUCUUGGCCUCCUAUAUGCAAUUGAAUCUUGUUGCUGUAGAAGUUCUUGGGUCAAAACUUCUUCAUCAUUUGUUCUUUCAAUAUUAGCUGGAUCAUCAUUAACCUUUUCAAACUCCACCUGCUGCAAAGUACUACUGGUUUUGUCAUCCUUUUGUGAAUCCUCGUUCUUCAUCAUGGUUGAUUCAUCAAAAGUUACAUCUCUACUGAAAACAAUCUUCCUUGUAUCAGGACACCAAAGACGGUAUCCUUUUACACCACCAGUUAUACCCAUGAAUAAUGCUUUCUUUGCUCUUGGGUCUAAUUUAGAUUCUUUUACAUGAUAAUAUGCAGUGGAACCAAAAACAUGUAAAGAAUCAUAAUCAGUAGCAGGUUUACCAGUCCACAUCUCCAUAGGAGUUUUUCCAUUUAUUGCAGCUGAUGGCAAUCGGUUAAUUAGAUGGCACGCAUAUGUAACUGCCUCAGCCCAAAAUUCCUUGCCCAAUCCAGCAUUGGACAACAUACAUCGAACUUUCUCCAGUAUAGUCCGAUUCAUGUGUUCUGCCACCCCAUUCUGCUGUGGUGUAUCUCGAACAGUGAAGUGUCCACAAUGCCCUCAUCUUGACAUACUUGUAGAAAUGGAUCAUUUUUGUACUCAGUACCAUUAUCUGAUCGAAGUCGUUUGACCUUUCGACCUGUCUGAGUCUCCACCAUCUUCUUCCACUUCAGAAAUGCAUCCAAAACUUCAUUUUUUCUUUUCAUUAGAUACACCCAUACUUUUCUUGAAUAAUCAUCAAGAAAAGUGACAAAAUAGUGCAUACCUCCCAAAGAAGCCACUUUGGUAGGUCCCCACACAUCACUGUGAACAUAGUCCAGAAUUCCUUUCGUAUUGUGAAUUGCUGAACCAAAUUUUACCCUCGUCUGCUUGCCCAGAACACAAUGUUCACAGAAUUCCAAUUUGCAAGAAUUUGCACCUUUCAACAAGCCUUGCUUCGCCAAAGUCUGCAAAGCUUUUUCACCAGCAUGUCCCAAUCGCCUAUGCCAUAACCUGGUAGCCUCUGAAUCUGCAUCUUUCGCAGAAGCUGUUGAUGUUGAUCCAAUAACUGUACUUCCAUUUAAAUAGUACAAGUUAUUUCUUCUAGUGCCUUUCAUCACCGUCAAUACCCCAGCUACUACCUUUAGUAAUCCAUCUCUCAAAGUGAUUGUGAGCCCUUUAGAUUCUAGGGCCCCUAAUGAGAUGAGAUUUUUCUUUAAGCUAGGUACGUAGCGAACAUCUGUCAAGACUUGGAUUGAGCCGUCGUGAUUCUUCAAUUGGACUGUACCCACUCCCAUUGUCUUACAAGCACUAUCAUUGCCCAUAAGAACAAUUCCACCUUCUAGCUCUUUAAGACUAGAAAACCAGUCCUUAUUAGGACACAUAUGGUAAGUACAUCCUGAAUCCAAAAUCCACUCAUCCGUUUGACAUGCCAUUGCCAUGCCAACCAAGCUAAAGUCUGACUCCUCAUCAUGCUCUGCUACACAUGCAUUAGAAAUAGCCUUGCCCUUUUGUAGCUUAGGACAAUUCUUUUUCCAAUGCCCUUUCUCACGACAAAAGGCACAUUCAUCUUUGGCGGGUCUCCCUUUGGACUUACCCCUUCUACCAGGUUUGCUGCUGUGUGAACGACCUCUUACUGUUAAGACUUCUGCAGUUGUAUCUCUGUGAUCUCUUUUAUCUUUCUUUCGAGUCUCAGAUCUAUACAACGCACUACAGACUGCAUCAAAUGUGAUCGUGUCCUUCCCAUAAAGCAAUGUGGUGGUAAGAUGAUCAUAUUCAUCAGGAAGGGAAUUCAACAACAAUAAUGCCUUGUCUUUAUCUUCAAAUUUCUCAUCCAAAUUUAGCAAGUCUGCUAAAAUUUUAUUGAAUGAGUUCACAUGGUCAUUCAUCGACAUACCGGGUGCAUACGUGAAUCGAUAAAGUUUCUUUUUCAUAUAAAGCCUAUUUUCAAGACUUUUCGUUAGAAACUUUUCUUCCAAUGUAUCCCACAGCUUCUUCGCUGAUGUCUCCCUCAUGACGGAGUACUUUUGCUCUUUGGCCAAACAUAGGCGGAUUGUUCCACACGCCUGUCUAUUGAUCUUGGCCCACUCCUUGUCAUCCAUCUUGUCAGGUUUUUCUUCAAGGGCUAUAUCCAGCUCUUGCUGACAUAAGACAUCCUGGAUCUCACACUGCCACAUACCAAAAUUAUUGGUACCGUCAAAUUUCUCUACUUCAAAUUUUGCAUUUGUCACAGUAGUCCUUGCUGAUGACGAUGCUGCUGCCAUUUUUCUCCUCAAUCCCAACUACUGUAUACGUGAACAGUACCGUAUACGUGAAUAGUGCCAUAUACGUGAAUAGUACCAUAUACAUAAAUAGUGCCGUAUACGUGAAUAGUACCGUAAACGGUCGUAUUCCCCAAGUACGAACCUGGCUCUGAUACCAAUUGUUGCGCGGAAGCGUGUGAAAGAGUAAAAUUAUUGUACUGAAAAAUCACACUAAGUUCAAUUCCUAGGAAAGAGAGGUGGAUCACGAGGAUCGCUUACAUACCAGAUCUUUCCUAGCCAGAAUAUCCCUCUAUCGUAAUUUAAUAGCACAAUAAAUCACUACAAUGACACUUGCAAAAUAUGCAGAACAAAAAUAAAGAACACUAGAAUUUUAACGAGGUUCAGCAAAUUUUGCCUACGUCCUCGGGCACUACCAAAUAUAUUUCACUCCAAAAAUACAAGUGAAAGUUUACAAAUAGGGAGAGAGAACAAUUGCCUUAAGUAGAGAAUGGCAAGUGUGGGAUGAAGAAAGUAAGAGAUGGUUAGGCCUAUUUAUAGUUGAGGUUUAAGGAUCAACUUGCAAUGUCCCUAUACAAUUAGGGACCAAAAUUGCAAUUAUCCCAUGCCAACUUUUAACCCAACUUGCCAACCAAUCUUACUUUCUACUUUCGGUGCCUUUCGGUGCCAACUUUCUGCCACUAUUCAUCUUUGAAAAGUCAAAGAUUGUAGGUAUCCAAUAGGAUGACACCCCUUCUUAUGGCAGCCAGGCAAGGUAAUGCUGGAAUAAUUUCGAAGAUUCUCUCUUUAUGUCCAGAUUGUUGUGAAGAAGUGGACAAUAAAUGUUUGAAUUUACUUCAUUAUCUGGCAUUUAGAGGCUCUUCCACUCUAUUUGGGCGUUCUUUUUUCAAGCUUGGUGGUAUUAAGAUUGCAUAUGGAUCACUCAGAAAUCUGAUGGAGUUGGAAGGUGACUUUGGGAUGACACCUCAAGAAGUUUAUAAUGCACUUCAAGAUGAGAAACAUCAUCAUAAACAGGUCAUGUGUUUGCCCAUAUAUAUUGCAUUUCCAUGGCUAUGGUUUUAUUAAUAUUUAAGUUUUGAAUUAACAUAUUUAAUAAACUUACAAUAAGACCUGCUAAUGUGGGUGGCAUUGCAGAAGCAAAUCAAAAAAUUGUUGGAAGAAAUUGAGAAUGAUCAAGGGGCGGAGGAACCAGUUCAUCGCUUUCUUUCACGAAAUGUUUCUACAGAAAGCUCGGAGAUGACAAUAAAUGCUCAUUUAAUAGUGGCAGCACUUAUAUAUACCGUCGCAUUCGCAGCAGCAAUAACUGUUCCUGGUGGUUUGAAUAGUGAAAAAGGGUCAGAGGAAGGCACUCCCCUUUUGAUUGAUAAGGCUGCCUUUAAAGUAUUUUUUGGAACAAAUUUAUCGGCCUUUAUUCUCUCUGUUUUUACCCUCACCAUCCACUUCGGGAUUCUGGAUAUUUUAUUUUCAGGAUUUAGUUUUUGGCAUCAAACAGGAUUUAUUCGAACUGAGUUUGUUUCUUUGAUCCUUGGCUAUGCAACAUUGGCGAUGGUGGUUGCUUUCAUUACAGGCAGUUUUGUGAUCUUAAAACCAACCUACGGACUUCCCGAUGUUCUUUUUCUCAUUAGCCCUGCUGUUUUUUUCUUUGUUUUCAUAUUUACUAUAUACAUACAAUAAUAUUACUUUAUCAUCUAUUGUAAUCUUCUUCCAAUUUUUAGUAUCAAUAUUAUCUCUUUGAAGAAAGAUUACUUCAAAUAUUUUUUUUGAGAUAUGUCUAACUUAUCCAUGUUAAUCAUCUCUAUUUAAUUGAAAUUAAUAUAAAGCUAUUAAUUGAUAAACAUACAAUUUCAGAAAAGGUAAAAGAAAAAUCACAAUUUGUUUAAAGUAAGAAUUAUUAAAUAUCAAAGAGUAAUAAAUAUGUUGUAACUAAUUUUCCGUUAUGAUUAAAAUCCAAUUUGACGAAUCAUUGAAAAAUAUGAGAAUUUUAAGUUUAAGGAAAAACUUAAGGUUCUAUUAAAAAAUGGAAAUUUGUCACCAAUCUUUUUAAUUAGGUGUGAUCAGACACUUAUAAAAUCGCUUUUAUUGUGAAGUUCAUGAAAAUGAUUAAAUGUCAGCUAAUUAACAAAAUUUGGUUUGGUGUUAUUAAGUGAAAGCCUUGAGUAAAACAAGAAUGUAACCAUCGUUAAUCGACAUGAAUUUCAAGAAAACCUAGCCUCCAUUUAUGGUUUGAUUAAUUCCACGCUUUGGCCAAGAAAAUGGAAAUAAAGAUACAAAGUUGUUCAAUUGAAGUAAAUGCAUCAUUAGUAGAGGUGUUCAUGGUUAGGCUAAAUCUAUGCAUGUAUAUAUGUGAUGUCCACUAAAUUAAUUAAUAAAUUGACUAAGUUAAAUGCACCUAUCAAUUAAUAGUAUAGUUAUGGCGACCACACAUAUCGUUCCCUCGAGGAUUACAAUUAGUAAUAAUUAUCUGUAAUAGCCCGAUUUUUAGUGAUGUCGGAAACAGUCCAAAUCUGGCAAAUGAGCUCAAAAAUUUUAUUAUUUAAUAUUUACGAGCCAAAUGAGGUAUUUAAAAGAUUUUUGAAUUAAUAAGUUUGUGGUUAUAAGGAUUUAUUAGAUUAAUUAAUUUAGAAAAAGAGGUAUCGAGACCUCGGUAUUAUAAAUUGAGCCGUAAAUAUUUUUAUAAAUAUUUACAGAGUGUCAAUAAGGUAGUAUUAAAGUUUCAUUAGAAAAUUUUAACGUUUUGGUAGUCAAUUAAUUAAAAAGAACUAAAUUGAAAAAGGUGCAAAAUUUGCUCAAGUGAUUAAAUAGUCUAAAUAAUAAAUAAAGGAAGACUAAAAGGGCAAAUAGACUCAUAUGAAUGGCAUGAAAAAAAUCAAGGAUUUUAUGUGAAAUAAGGGCAAAAUUGUAAAUUUCACCAAAUUAAAGAGAAAUAAAUGGGAAAUUGAAAAAUCUUGACAAAUUCAUCAUCAUUUUCAGCUCAAAAACAGCCAUAAGCUGAUUUUUCAUAUUUUAGCUUAAUGUAAGUUUAAUUCUUACUUUUUCCUUAAAAUUUUUAUGUUUUUGGACUUUUACAACUAGGUCUAACUUACUAUUUUAUUAGUUUUUGAUUUUGUUGAAAGUUUUGGAAGAUAUCAUUGAUAAGUUCAUAUGAUUUUAGUUAUCUAUGAGGAAGCUUUGCACACAUCUGUUGCCAAUACUUGUAGUUAUGAGUUAUUGUAUGCCAUUGAAUUUGUGUUAGAUACAUGUUAUAUGCUAACUCACUAUGUUUUGGAGAAUUUUAAUGUCAUGGUAAUCAAAGAAGCAAAGCAUUUUAAUGGCAUCAGCUUUUUUACAAUUAAAAUGUCCACAAGCUAAUGUGUAUGAACUUGGGAUGUGGAGUUCAGCUUAUUGGGAUGUGGAAACUAAAUAGUAAAAUGUUGAAAUUGUCCCAGUUAAUACCACAUUACGGUUGGUUUCCAUGUUACAAUACGAAAUCCGAUGGGAAAAUUGAAUUGCUGUCUGCUAAUCAUUUUCAUUUAGUUUGCUGUUUAAAUAAUGUUGCCUCACUCUUAUAAUCACCACUUUUUCUAUUUUUAUAUGCCCUCUCUCUUUCCCCAAAGUGGCGUUCCACGUGUUCACUUACUCUAUAUAACACCUUAGGUUUAGUCUUUUAAUUACUAAGGAUGUGGGUGUUUACCCAGACCAUGAGCUGAGUAGUGUUAUUGAUUUUGGAUAAAGCAUGUCGGCUACGUGCAUCUUAAUUGCCAUAAACAAGGGAUAAAUGAGAGACAUUGAGGCCCCAAUGGAAUGCUAAAAACAAUUUGAAACAAGGUUGAGAGAAGUGGGGUUUGGUAAACGUCACAUGCAAAUGCAAUUAUUAUUAUUAACUUCAACAUAUUAGUAUAAAAAAGGGGGACGAAUGUGGGCUAUGGGCCUAAAGUCAAAAAGGGGUUUUGUUAUGAAUCUAAAUUAAAGCAACCUAAAAGCAUUUCAUAAGCUUAUGAUUAAGACAAAUCUUGCUUUUAAAUUAGUAUUAUUUGCAUGGUCAUGGCCUUAUCCCUAGAGCUACACCUUUUGAAAUGACAAGUGCUAUUUUUAGAUUGUCUGAACAUUGAAGAGACAAAAGCUGUCAUAUAGUAAUCUAUCCUUCAAUUAUUGUCGCCUAUUCCUCACUAUUAACGGAAUAACAGGAUUCAUUUAUAAUUCACCAUUUUCCAACUUAAUUAACAACUAAAAAGGUCAAAUGUUCCAUAUUUCAAUGGCAUCAGGGAGAUGGAAUUCCUUGAUCUAACAUUUAAAUUCCACAAUUAGUUAUAAUUUUGAUUUUCUUUUUAUAAAAAAGACAGAAGCAUGCAAUAGAUAGUAAUAUAUAGCACUCUAUUACGUAGGUGGAUUAAAAAACAUAUUUUUUAUCGAUUGUGAAAGAGUUUAAACCGUACAUAGACUCCGAUAAUGGAUGUUGUCUUUAUUAUAUCACAAACCUUAAUUGUUGACUAAGUCGGCAAACAUCCAAGCUAAUCCGCUCUAACUUCCAAUGUACCUUGACACUUGCCCAAUAAAACCCUCCUCCAUCAAUUGUGAAAAUCAUAACAAACACGGCCUUCAACGUUAAGUUUUCGAUUAUUAAUUAAUAGCUCUCAAAAAACAAGUAGGGGACUAUGAAUUGGAUUUAUACUAGUAAAAGAUCGACAAACUAUUACAUGAUCCAAAAAAUCUCUAAGAGCAAUUACUAUAUAUCCCUACCGUAGUACCAUCUUAUUCUUGCCAACCAAACAAAUAUCACUACUACUCAUUCCUGGCCAAUCUAUACUGGAGUUGCUAUGACUAGAUCAUCUUUUUAUAACCAAACUACCUUCUUUUUUCUACUACUUCUAUUUUGAAAUACCUCUAUAGUUGUUGUAGACAAUUUUUGAACCUCAUUCCUUGUUUAUAAAGAUCAAGUUUCGCACCUUUAAAUAUCACCUCAUUCCGCAUUUCCAUAUCAACCACAUAGUCUUCGCACCGAUACUAUAUAUACAAGUUGCAUCGUCUACCCCUUUCCAUUGUUUUCAGCUUAACAUCCAAUUCUUUACAUUGCCUACGUUUAUACUUCCCAUUCUAAUGCCUAAACCCAGUCCAAACUAUACAGCGUGCGAACAAACCUUUAAUGAAUAAGUGAUUCACAUCCUCGUCCUUCUGCUUACAUAGUUGACAAAUAAGUUUUACAUUUUGUAAGAGGUGCUAAAGAAAAAUCACAAUUUCAUAAGGAAUAUCACGAUUCCACAACCACUUCCAAUCAAAGUGAAGUGUAGUUUCUAUGCCUUCAUAUGAAUUCAUAAGGAAUAUCACGAUUCCACAACCACUUCCAAUCAAAGUUAAGUAUAGUUUCUAUGCCUUCAUAUGAAUUCAUAAGGAAUUUAGGGUUUAAGGAAGUUGUCUAAGCUUGUAUACGCUGACUUCAUAUGAAUUCAUAAGGAAUAUCAAUGAAUGCGUUCAAAUGAAUUCAUCUUUCCCUUCACUAGGAGAGUACUUAGUUCCUUACCCUAACCAUUCUAAGCACUUUGAUUGAUACACUUUGGGACUUUAACAUAAGACAAUCAAUACGAAGGUAGAGAUGCAAAUUGGGAGUAUACCAUUGUAACAACCUGACAUUAGUCAAAGUCAGAAAAUACGGUUUCAAAACUCUAUUUCCGUAAACUGAGUCCAAAAAGACAAAAUAAGAAUAUUUAUGGAGUUUAUAGAAAAUAUAUUAAAGAUCGGUUAAGUAAUUUAACCGAGAAACUCAUUAAUUAAAGCUCAGGUGUUAAAUUGCAAUCGCUAUUGAAUUUUAAAUUGAAAAUGCUUGAAGACCAAAUUAACAAUUAGUCAAAGGACCAAAUGGUUAUUUAACCAUUAAUUUGAAAAGAGUUUUAAUUAAUGUAUUUUAAUUAAGUUUUGGAAACCUAUUUGCUUGUAUGAAUCGUCGAGUAGGUAUUAAAACAAAAUCAUAAUUGCUUCUACCACAAAUGUGGCAUUUCAUGUUUCGGACCGAACGACCGGGUCGUGUGCAAGGUCUUACAACCAUUGCCUUAAACAUAAAGGCUUCCAAUGUGCUCAUUUAUUUUUGCAAUAUAUCAAUAGGGGUUGGAAAAACUUUCUUGUUACAAAGGUAACCCAACUAGAUUCCAAGAGUUUUGGGGUCGCUCUACUCGUUUGAUUCCUACAUAUUCGAAAACCACCGCUUUUAUUGACUCCUACUUGAUAGACUAAGAUAUAAAUAAAGAUUUUCUAUAAUUGAUGGACAAACUUGAUAUUCCUCCAAAAUUCCCUUCCCUUAUUUUGUAUUCCUAAUUGCAUGCAUAAGUUCAACCCCUAAGAAAAUAUUAUCAAUAAUACGUCUCCCUUAUGGUGUAAUCAAUCUUGACUAGCCCCUUCAAUCUACUCACUGAAACUUUUGUUCAAAUUUUAUAAACCACAUUAUACAGGCUAAUUGGACAUUACCUUUAUCCUCAAGAUACGAGUGAUCUACGGUCUUAAAUUCUUUCAAUAAAAAACCAAAACAUGCUUGAGUUAUGAGAGGACCUACAAUAUCCCAGAACAUGCUAUCAAUCCCGGCAGCUUUAGAGCAUCAUUUUAAAAUAUAUACCACCUUUACUAUUUCUUCUGGUCUAAUCACCCCUCAAAGAUAGUUUAUGGGGUAAUCGUAAAAAAAAAAAAGAAAGAAAGAAACCCAUCAAUAAGAAAUAAAAAUAUCAAUUAAACUUUCAAUUCAACUCUUGUAGCUGAAAAAAUUAAUCAACGAAACCUUAAACUAACAUUGAUCGUGACAUUUUUAUUGACUUUGACUAAAAUAGUAAUAAUACAUAACAUAUCAUAUGGACUGCAUAUUGACAUGGCAUUUUUUACGCAUCAAGCAAAUAUUUAAAAAAUCGUUAACAAAUAGAUACAUUUUUUUAAAAAUAAUUAUUUAAAAUAAUAUAUCUAGAAUAAACCUAAAUAAACAACUAUCCACAUUCAUUUGAAUCUAGAUAACUAUUUAUCCAGACUCAUCUUGAACUUGAUUCCUUUGAUAAUUACUAAAAAUUAAAAAAAAAGAAUAUAAAAGAAACUUUUUAAUAAUUAUAAGUUAUUAAAAUUAUUAAAAACUUAUAAAAGAUAUUAAAAACCACUGAGAUGAACCUAGACUCUUUUUUUUUUUUUUCACUUAACACGUACAAAACUAAUUUUCAUAGAAAACCAAAAUAAAAUUGUCAACAUUAUAAGGAUUAAACAAAAUUUUUACUGUUUUGCUCAAAAUACAAUCGACAAAUACUUAAAAAAUGAAAGCCCCAAAAUGAAUUCUAAAGCAUUGAAUACAAACAUUCACAUUGAGAAUAAGAAGUUACAUUGAAGCGUCACUAUAAAUAUAGUUGAAUGAGCUCAUCACUAAUCACGGAAGGAGUAAGCACACCCAAGUCUGUAUAGAGUAGAGUAAGAUAUUGAGGAGGAGUGUAAUCUCGAGCCGAUCUUUUUACCUCAACCUUGGAUGGGAUUAGUACCCCAAAAUCAAUGGGGUGUCGCGCAGGACUCAUAUCUUUUUGGUCCUAAGGAUAAUGUCGAGCAAACUACAAGGGAGAAGAAAUUCACAACUGAGUUAUGCUAGCCGGUAGUCUGAACCCUUCUUUCUAGGUUCGUUGUAUGUAGCCUAUUUCUUUGCUCGGAUUCAAAUACUUAAGAGCAAGAAAUGAAGCUUUUUAGUUACCUUGUAGCAUUCUGCAGCCACAUAAACAGGCUUGUUCAUGCUAUGUGCCACAAAUGCAAUCCGGAAUGGCGCCAUCAUGUUAAUGAUACCUUCACUUUCAACCACUCCAUCAGCUCCAAAGAGUACCAUGUCCACCUCAUCCAUAGUGUAUGCCACAGCAGAGUCUAUUAAAAGCUUUACGGGAACAUCAAGGUUGGCCAGCUCAUUAGAAAAUCGUAAUCCAGUUCUAUCUGGCCUUCCUUCUGUUUUAAAACAAUGUGAACUCUUUCAUAAACACCGCCAUCUGAUAUGACUUAGUAGAACAUAUGCAAAAAAAAAAAGAAGAUAAAAUGACUAGACUUCUUUUUUGGUGACAGCACAUUUGGUUUAAUCCUGUUAAGAAUUAGUUGCAUGCACAUGACAAGGUACACAGAAAGUAAAACCUGUGCAGAGAACUCUAAAAGUGUUUCUUGUUUUCAGCUGCUGUCUUCAAUACUUCGAGAACAACUCUAGAGAAACCAUGUACCAAAAUGGUACAACCAUCAAAAAUAAAAUCUUGACUUAGCAUUGCAAUAAUCCUGCGAGCCUACAAUGUUUGGCAAUAAUGUCUUUCAACAUCAGGAAUGCUUCAAGUAUAAUUAAAAUGAAAUGAAACAGUAGAGAAGUAAUUUACUAGAAAAGCCACAAUUUAUCUGAAAUACCUUACAAGAUAUUUCCCCAAACUUCUCUGCACGUUCGAUCAGGCGAGACUUAGCUGAAUUAAAGUCCUCAUACUCUAAAGCUGAUGUUCUUGUUACAUACAACAUGAAGAGAUCACAACCAGCUGUCAACGAGAUAGAGGUUGUGUCCCAUGACUGGCAAUACAAACAUAAGCUUGAUGAUGAAAUUGAGAUGUUGAUGGGUGUUUAAAGGUAUUUUAUUAAGGAAUUUUGGAUGAAAUCAUGUUUUAGGGAUUAAUUAGUAAAGUUGUUGAAUUUAUGUGAAAUUCUAAAAUUUCAUCGAAUUUAUGGGAUGCUAUUGAUAUAUGUGAAAGUAUUUAGGCUUGGAAUAAGGAAUAAAUUACUUAAAUUUCAAUUUUCGAGCCUAGGGAUGAAAUCGUCAUUUAGUAAAAGUAUAGGGGCAAAAUAAUAAUUUUGCCUAAGAUGUGACUUGGAUAGAAUUGAAUGUAAAUUUUAUUAAGUUGAUGUUAAAUUUACUCAUAUAGAUCCGGAUAGAUCAAAUACGAAGCUAGAUCGAGGUAAAGAAAAAGUGACGGAUUAGUAGACAUCAAUUCACAAACACUUGUCGAGAUAAGUUCGUGUAACUAAAUUGUGUAUAUUUAUAUGCUUAAAUUUGAAUAUUGAAUAUGUAAAUUGUAUAAAUGUCAUGUAUGUGUAUAUAAUUUACCUCAUAUCCGAUAAUUCCUGAUAAAUGAGUCAUGUAUGUGUAUAUAAUUUACCUCAUAUCCGAUAAUUCCUGAUAAAUGAAUAAGUCCCAUAAAAUGAAUGAAACUCGAUUGGAUACAGGGUUCUGUUUCCCAAUAUGGUAAUGUUCCUGCAUAUGUUGCAAACGUCCGUAUCUCGAAAGAGCGUCCCGUUACAAGCCCUCUCAAGCUUCCCGUUAUAGUGUUCUUGCGAGCUUCCCGUUAAAUGCUCUUCUGAGUAUCUCGACUGGUUGUGUUCUGCAUAUGUUGUAGACACACCCACGCUCUUAUGGGUGUUCUGUUUAUAGGUUCUUUGUGAACCUCCUGUUAAAGUGCUCUUCGGAGCUUCCCGUUAGUGCUCGCUUGAACUUCCCGUUAUAUGACUAUCCGGUGCUCUCUGUUAAAGUGCUCUUUGGAGCUACCCGAUAUAGGCUCUUUGUGAGCUUCCUGUUGUUAAGCCCAGAAAAGCUUCCCGUUAUAGUGCUUGAGAGAGAGCUUUCUGUUUAAGUGCUCUAAUGAGUACUCGACAUGAAUUGACAGAUUUCUGAUUUAUACACUUUAUGUGUGUAACAGCCCGAUCUUGACCCUAAUCGGAACAGUAGUUUUGGGACCACAAAUUCGAGUCUAAAAAAAUAUUUUAAUAUUAUUUUCUGUGUUAAUUAUGUGUGAAUUUACAUGUGUGAAAGUUUCGUAAAUUAAUUUUAUUGUUUGUGUGCUUAAUUUGAAAAAAAAGGGGCUUAAUCGCGUAAAAUGAAAAUUUGAUGGCUAAUUAAGAAAGUGCCUAAUUGUUGUUGUCUUUAUAAGUUGGAGGCCUUAUGUUGUAAUUUAGCCAAUAAUAAUAGGUAGUGGAUGGCAUAAUGAUGAUAUGUGAUUUAUAUAUAUAUAAAAUAAAAGUUAAAAUAAUAUUAAUAUAAUAAUAUAUGUUAUAAUAAAACAAAACAUUAAAAGCCACUAUUUUUUUUAUGUUCAUCUUUCUUCACCGAAUGGAGAAAAGAAAAACAAGGUUUGAAAGCUUGAAACAUUCGGCCAUUUUGAAGCUUAAUUCAAGGUUGGUUUUUGUUCGGUUUUUGAUAAUUUUUACGUUUUUGAGAUCGUUGCUUUGAAUACUUCAAAACCCAUGUCUUAAUUUUGUGAAUUGUUGAUGAUUUUGAGAAAUGCCAUUGAUGAAUGCUUGAGCUUUGUGAUAGUUGAUGAUGAAAUAUGAAAGAUAUGUGAAAGAUUAACAUGUUUGUCUUUGAAUUUUUGAUGAAUUUGAGUAAUUAGGGUUAAAUUGUAAAAAUAAAUUUUUGAGGGACUAAAAUGUGAAAUAAAUGAAAUGUGUGGUCUUGUAUGGACACUAGGAAUAUUUGGCCCUUAAGGAGUGUAGUCAAAUUUUGUGUAUUUUGUGUUUUGAGCAAAAAGGACUAAAUUGUAAAAAGUGUGAAAUGUUAGGGGCAAAAUUGUAAUUUCCCAUUUAUGUGUUUUUAGGCUAAAUUGAAUAGAAUGGUGUUUAACUAAGCUUAAUUUGAAUAUGCUUAGAUUAAGAAUUAAAGAAAUCUAAUUUGGAUCGAGGAAAGACAAAAGUGGUGGAGUAGCCGAUUUAACAGUCGACGACAUCCGAGGUAAGUCUAUAGGCAUAUAAAUGUCGUUAAAUUUGAUAAUAUAUAUGUUACAUGUUGGAUGGAAUUUUUGUGAAUAUAUUUGUGUAUGGCCGAAUGUAUAUUGAGCAAAUGAGCUAUAUUCGAGUUCGAUUCGAUCGAGAUACGUUAUCCGAAAGUCCCGUACGAACCCUAGGAAUAGAUAGGAUACAUAUGUCAUGGCAUAGGAUUUUCGAUAUGUGUUAUCGUGUAAGACCACGUCUGGGACGUUGGCAUCGACUUGUGUUUACGUGUAAGACCCUGUCUGGGACAAUGGCAUCGAUAUGUGAUUACAUGUAAGACCACGUCUGGGACGUUGGCAUUGUACGAGUCUUCCGACUAUCCGAGUAUCCUUUUUAAUUCCGAAUGGUUCAACGGGAAAAGAUAAGUUGUGUACGAAUGUAUAAAUCGGGCUAAGUGACCAGGUAUGUGAUAGUUAAUUACCUAUUUGAAAAUAAGGCAAGUUGUAUACUUGAAUUGAUGAUAUGAAGUUAUGUGAAAUAUGGAUUAUGUUAUUGCAUAUUUGAAUAUAUAUGUAUUCGACCUUGAUGUAUAUGUGCAUUGAGGAAAGUGAUGAUUGGUUAUAUUAAUGUUCAAUGGAUUAUUCAGUAAAGAGGGAAGUUAUUACAAAUUAUAUAAGUUUUGAUAUAUAAGUUGAUAAAUUGAAUUAUAUGUGAAAUUAUAAUGGUUUAUUACUAAUUGUCUAGCUCAAUUUAUGUAAAUGAUUAAAUGUUUAUUUGCUUAUGAAUACUAAGCUUUAAUAGCUUACUGUGUGUAAUUGCUUUCAAUUUUAUAGAUUUGGAAGUUGGUUAAGAGCGGGGAUCGUCAGAGAAGUCUAUCACACUAUCGACUAUUUUCGGUAUUUUACUAAGUUUGAAUUUAAACUUAUGGCAUGUAUAGUCUAGUUAAUAUGUUUGAUUUUUGGGGAUGUAAAUAUGAGCCAUGCGAAAAUGGCUUAUUUAUUUUGUUAAGCAUGGUUUUUAUGCUUUCGAUCAAGUGAUAGAUAUGUUGAUUUUGGUAUUUCGGCUAUGGCAUAUUUAUUUAUGUGAAUUAUGUUUGAUAUAUUUUGUUAAUAAGGUGGUAAAUAAUUCGGCAUAGGUGAGCUUAGUUAAAGCAUAUAAUUGAAGUGAGUUUCGUAUAAUAUGUUAAUCUCUGAAUCGGCCAUGGUAUAUAUAUUAUGGUGUUUUAGUCAUGUGCUUCGGUAAUGAGGUAAAUGAUAUUCAAGCUUAAUUAAUCUUGGUUAUGUGUUAUAUAUAUAUAUGAUAUGUGUGAUAUGUUUGGUUUUGGUCUUGGUGUUUCGGCUAUGGUUUAUUUAUAAGUAAAUAUAUGUGAAUCUUGUUUGAUAUGCUUUGUUAAGGUAUUGUUAUGUAAUUUAGUAAUUAAGUGAACUCGGUUAUGGCAUAUAGGUGAAAUGCUAAGUAAAUCAUAGAUGAAAUGACAGUUAAAUUUGGUUUGUAAGAGUAUAUUUGCAUUAAUAAAUUGAUUUGAAAGAAACUAGUAAUGUGCAUAGGUAUGUACGAUUAUAAGGUAUGGAAGAAUAUGUGUAUAUUUGGUCAUGAUCUAGACCUGUUUUGGAAGUGUGUUUUAUGCUAUAAAUUGGUGUAUGGAUAUAGGUUUGGAAAAUGUGAAUUGAUAUGUAUGAUUUUACUAUUUGAAUCGAUAUGGUUUGAUUAGUAAAUGCCAUAUUUUGACUUAUGAUUUAAUGACUAAAUCUUGUACAGUUUAUGAGGUUAUUUAUGGAUGCCAAUUUGUUAUGAAAUAAAUUAGGAAUGUCGAGUAUUUAAUAAAGGUACGAUUUGCUCAUGCAAGUGGACUUAAUAUUCGAUUUUAUAUUUGUAAAAUGAUAUGAAUUGUAUGGAUUUUUGGAUAUGGCUAAAAUGGUGUAUUCAUAUGCGCAAACUUGUAAUAGAUAAAUAUGAAUGUUUUGGUCUUUUGAAUGAUAUAUAUAUAAAUGAUUUUAAGGUAGGUUUAAAAUUUAUGAAUAAGAUACAAACAAAUUCGGGUAAUGAUAGUUAAGUGAGUAAAACAAGUUUGAAUUUAGCUUUUAUAAAUUUAUUGGAUUAGUCAAUUAAAGGAUAAGUUGAUUUGUAUUGAGCGUAUAUAAUUUAUGAUUGAAUGAUUUCACUGAAAUGGUCAUAUGUGUAUAAUAUAAUGGCAUAAAAGGUAUGUACGACCAUAAUAUAAUGUUACUAAUGUUGUAUAUGUGAUUGGACAUUAAGUUGUAUACAUAUUGGUUUCAUUAUGUACAUAUACAGAAGUUAUGAAAUGCAAUGUUUGAUAUUUAGAUAGUAAAAUUAUGUACGGAAGUAUUUUCUAUAUAUGAAAAGUGAAGAUAUAUGCUUGAAUAUGAUUUAAUUAUGAAAAUGUCAUUAAUACGAUGGAUUUAGGGAAAUCGAAUAUUGAAAGUAUUUUAAUUUAACAUGACUCUGAUGUAUACAAGUUUGGUUCGAAUUUGUUAAUUAUAGAAUAUGUUCAUUGAGCUUUGAUGUAUGUUUAAAUUGAAUUAGUUUAAAUUUUGAAAUGUGUUUAUUUGUGAUACAUGCUUAGUAAGGUAUGAUUGAUUUGAAUUGUAAUUAUCAUUUUAUACAUAUUUGAAUUUAAAAUAAGUAAAAUGAGGAUAUUCAAGUUUGAUAAUGUUAUAAAUGAAUCGUUAUUCUUUGGUGUAUGAAAGGAGGUAAAUGACUGUGCUGAACUGUGUCUUGUUCGGUAAUGCCUUGUAACCCUAAUCCGAUGACGAAUACGGGUUAGGGGUGUUACAAUAUGUACUACCCUCGUAUCCAUCGAGAUUUCAAAUGAUUCAACAGGUGAAAUUCUGACAUGAAGACAAGUGAAAAUUAAAAUGAAAUCAAUAUAUGAAAAAUACAUGAAAUGCAUGGAACUUGGUAUUUGAUGAGCUCAUCUUUGGUGUUGAUAUUUACAUGAAAUGAAUAACUAACAUAUUUGAUGAGAUUAUGUACUUAGGCUAUGGCCAAGUUGUUUGGAAUGCAUGAGUAUGUUUACUUAGUGUACAAAUGAAUGGUAAGUUUACUUCCCGUUAUACGAACUUACUAAGCACUAAGUGCUUACUCUGUUUUAUAGUAAUCGGAAGCUCGUUGGGUUGGAAGCUUGGCGGAGAUCACUCACACUAUCCAUUGGCUCACUUUGGUAUAUUUAUGACACUAUUUUUGGAUAUAAUGGCAUGUGUAGGUUUGGUUAGCCAAAGUUGGCAUACAAAUAUUUUGGUUGUAAAUAGCCAUUGGAAUGGCUUGUGAUGAAUGUGUUUUGGCAUAUUAACAUAUGAGUUAAUUUCAUGUUUGGUAUAAGUGCUUAAUUUGGUUUAUGAAUAUUAGUAUGAUAUUAAGUAAAUGUGGUCAAAUAUAUAAAUUCACAAACAUGGAUUAUGAAGUGAUAUGGUAAGUAUGAGACUUGAGUUUUGCAUGUUUUUAAAUGUUUUAGAUUGACUUUUGGAUGUGUUAAAAUGUUUGUAUAGGUGAGUGAUCAAAUGGGUGAGAAAUAAGGCUUGGAAAUGACAUUAUUUUGUCCACACGGGCAGAGGCACGAGUGUGUGUCUUAGUCGUGUGUGACACACGGCCUAGCACAUGGGCAUGUGUUCUAGCCAUGUGUCCCUUGCAUUUUAAAAUUUUAAAAUAGAGCACUUGAAAUUGAUCACACGGUCUGGCACACGGGCAUGUGACUUAGCCGUGUGACCCCUGCACUUAAUUAAGUUGCAAGUCAGAGAGUUACACGGGUUAGAGACACGGGCGUGUGCCCUACCUCAUAUACCACACGGCCUAAGACAUGGGCAUGUCACUUGGCCGUGUGAGCCACAUUGCUUGACCACACAAGCGUGUGACCCCUGAACCUAGGAAAAAUUUUGAAAUUUUGUAAAAAUUCUCUAAGUUCCCGAUUCAGUCUCGACUCAUUUCUAAUGUAUGAUUUGGGCCACGAAGGCCUAUAGAAGGGACGAUAUGGUUAAACCCUGUUCCAACGACGGAUACGAGUUAGGGAUGUUACAUUAUCGCCUUUCGGUUACUUAACCUAAUAAUUCAAAGGAUUGCUUAAAACUAAAAUUGACUAACUAAAAUAACUAACGAAUGUGUCAAAUAGCAAAACACGAAAAUAAUCUAAUAUCAUCCGAUUUACUAAACGAUACCCACGUACGAAUCCACUUAGAAUUCAUCUAAAAUUCUCAAUUUAAUUUAUGCAAUUUAUUUCCUUAGUUUCCUUGAUCCAUAGAAAUCCCUAACUUAUGCUAAUAUCUCUUUCGAGCAUAAAAGCAACUAACUCUAGGUUGAUUAAUUGAAAUUUCCUUCUAAUUAAAACCCUUAUUAUCUCAUUAAUUCACUCUAUGGAUUCUCUUAUUAGAUUUGAUUCUAAUUUGGUAGAUUUGUAUCGACCUAUUUCUAGGAUUAUAUGCAACUCCAUUCGACUAUGCAAAAUCUAAUUACAAGAAGGGUCUAUUCAACCUCAAACUCAUGCCCAUCAAACAUGGAUUAAGACCCUAGAAAUAUUAACCCAAGAAAAAAUUUAGAAUUCAUAAUUGAAAAUAAAGAAGCUAAGAUUUUAUUGCAUAAAACUAUAAAUCAAAUAAUAUCAUCCAUCGUAAGGCUCGUCUCCUCUAGGGAUUUAGAAAAUUAGUUCAUACUUGCAAGAAUAAACACCGAUAAUACAAUAUAACCAUUAAAAUAAAAGAAACCUAUGAUAACUUCCUCAGAAAUCAAUUUGGAAUCUUUAAUUUUGAUGGAGAACUGCUUUGAAAUCAACUUCAAUGGUGUUCUUUUGGGUAAUUUUCGUGCUAAACCAAGACGGAUGUUGUUUUCCCUUUUUUAUUUCCUUAUAUAUGCCUUCUUAAAGUACCAAAAACUUAAAAAUUUAAACUUCCGACUAUCAUUGUACACGGUUCCCAAAAGUUACACACCCUUGCCACACACCCUUGUGGUUCACAUAGCUUUGUGGUCUGGCUGUGUGAAAAUCUGUUACCCGUGUACAGCUUCCAGACUGCUUCAAUGUUAUGAUUUUCACUUGUUUUUCGCUCUAUUUGUUCCCAAGUUCUCUAUUAAGCUUCAAAACAUGAAUUUAAAGGAUUAUAAGUAUAUAAUUCACAAUUAACACCACUUUAUUACCCAAAAAUGCACUAAGAAUGAGGCUAGAAUAUGUUACUUUUGACACUUAUCAAAUAUCCCUAUACUUAAGCAUUUAUUUGUCCUCAAGCAUAGGUCUCGGCUCACAUUCAAAUUAACUUUCCUUCACCCAUUAUUUUCACUAGUCAUGGCUUAGGAUAGUCUAUAUAUAAUUCGAAAAUUAAACUAAAAUGACAAUAAAGAGCAUGAGUAAUCCAAGCAAAAAUUUUAAUUUCAAAACAUAGGAUUCUCCCCUACCUUAUAAUGACUUGAAAUUCAAACCCAACCAGAUUUAACAUCCUUACUAAGUUUCACUCAAAACACUCAAAGUGUUUAAAGGUUAAUUAAUAUGCACUCAAUAGUCAAACAAGGAAUGUUAUUACCAUAAGCUUGCUUAAGAACCAAAUCUCCACCACUACAAAUAUGAGAUGACACAAAGAUCAAGAGGUUUUUACAAGGGUUGUAACGGGGAUUAGGUUAAGAGUAUAGAAGGUAUAAAAGGUGAAUAUAGUUGAGAGUUGAAAUGAUAAGUUACCAAACUAAAAGAAUAAGAUGCUGAAUUGCAAAAAUUUAACAUUAAAGUGAAACAAAGAAUUGAAGUGAGCUUUUAUAUAUGGUGAUGAUGAUGAUUUAAGCUCAAAAAAAAAAAGAUAAUGAUGCUUAUAACAUGAAUAUUGACCUCUCAAUUGAACAAGAUAGCCUAAAGAAUUUUUAGAAUGAUCGAACAUAUCUAGGAAAUUUACCAAAAAUCUAAUCUCAAUUUAAGGGAAGCAAUAAAAAAGGUAAUUCACAAAAUUAUUGGGGUUUAAGGGUUAAAAUGGAGGGGGUGAUAAACAAACAAAAAGGGAUUAGGCUCAAAGGGGUUUACUAGUGGGCAAUGAAAUGGGUAGGCUAUUUAAAUGUUAAAUGGUUUAAAUCUUAAGUAUUUCUAUCAUCUCAGUAUAUCAAAUCAUUAUAUUUGAGAAUUCACAACAAAUGUUGGAUCUCGGUAACAUUUGUAAUCAAUCUCAUACAAGUGCGCACAAGACCUUAUUUACAUGCCAAUUUUAUCCUGACAUUUACUAAGUUCACAUGAGCAUCUCUUACACAUAUAAAUAUAUAUUUUCAAUUUAGUCCAAUUCCAACAUUUAGAACCAAUCAAUAAAUCCACAAUCACACACUUAUACACAAAUCAAAUCAAUUAAUUAUUUUAAAUAUAAUUAUUUUUAGUAAAAAUAAAUUUUAUAUGUGAAAUAUUUAUUUUUUUUCCAUCCAUAUAAUGGGUCUGACAAAUUUUAGUAUUAUAUAUUUUUAUGUGUAUUUUAGAUAAUUAUUUGAAAUAUUUUACAUAUAAAAACAAUGAUAUUUGAAAUAAUUAUUUUUAUAAUAUUAAAAUUUACCAUACUUGCAAUAUAGGUGAAAAUAUAUUGAUAUUUGUAAUAGUUAUUUGAAAUAUUUCACAUAUAUUUGAAAUAAUUUUUUGAAAUAAUUUACAUAUAAAAUCAAUAGUGAUAUUUGAAAUAAUUAUUUGAUUUUAUAAUAUUAGAAUCUACAAUAUCCACAAUGUAGGUGAAAAAAAAAUAUUUCACAUAUAAAAAAUUAUAUUUACUAUUUACUAAAAAUAAUGAUAUUUGAAAUGGUUAAUUGAUUUUUUUAUAGUAGAAUUUAUCGUACUUACAAUGCAUAUAAAAAAAAUAUUUGAUGUAUAAAAAUUAUAUAUAUAGAAAAAUAUAAAAAAAUUAGUUGAUGUUUUUUAAAAAAUAAAAAAUAAAUAACAUAAUGAUACUUAUGAAUAUAUUUUCACUAUAUCCACAAUGCAAGUGGAAAAAAAUAAUGAUAUUUGAAAUAAUUAUUUUUAUAAUAUUAAAAUUUAUGUUACCCACAAUGUACGUAAAAACAUUUUUUUUAUAUAAAGAAUUAUUUAUAAAGAAAAAUAUAUCAAAAAAUUAGUUGAUGUUUUUAAAAAUACAUAUAAUUUUAACAUAAUGAUACAUAUGAAUAUAUAUUCAUCAUAUCAAUAAUGUAAGUGAAAAUAUAAAGAGAUUUGAAAUAAUUAAUUUUAUAUGUUAGAAUUUACGAUACCCACAAUGUACGUAAAAAAAUAUUUGACAUAAAAAAUAUAUAAAGAAAAAUAUAUCAAAAAAAUAGUUGAUGUUUUUAAAAAAUAAAAUAUAUUAACAUAAUUAUAUAUAAAUUAUUUUCAUUAUAUAAUUACAUAUUUAUUAUUUUGUGUGUAUAAAUAAAGAAGUGAUUAAUUAAAAUAAAAAGUUAAUUGAAGACUUGAAAAUAGCAUGCUUAUUAAUUAAAAAUUAAGAAAAAAAAGCUUGAAGAAAUAUUCAUUAGGAAAAAAAAAAUAAUAUAUGGGGGGGGAUUCGGAUAUGGGACUUAAGGGUAGAAAAUGCUAGAAAAAUAAUGAGGUCCUUGGAAGUAAUAAAUAUUAAUAUUUUGAUAUUUUAUAAAAAAUUUAUAAACUAUAUAAGCAUAAUAGGAUUUGAACUUAAGUUACUAUGACUUCAACGAUCUUAUUCUUGUUAUCAGAACAUUAUUUAUUUCUUUUUAUAAACAUUUACAUAUAUUUUUUUUAGAUCUAACAAACAGGGAAGGCAUUUGGUAAAUUUCUGGAUUUGCAGUAUUUUUUUCUUCAAGCUAAUUAAUUCAAUUUUGUAUGGUGUUAUCCAGGAAGAAAUAGAUCAACAAAAAUGGGAGCUGAGGAGCCUGAAGAGAACAUCACUCACAUGGAUGCUUGGCUUUAUAAGGCAGCAGCAGAAGGCAACAUUGAAGUAUUCAAUAAUAACCAGCGGCUUCAACUUGAGCCGCUAAAGACCCCAAACCAUGACAACCUGCUCCAUGUUAGCUUGGCAACCCAGGAGAAUGCUGUCUGGCUUUUUAACAGCGUUCACUCAAUAUUCAAAUCGUCCCCGCACAAUAUGUAUUCUCCCUGAUAGAUUUUGUAUCACACGAUCCGGGUUUCAAUAUUUUCGUAACUGUGAUAAGAAGAGACAAAAUAUCUGAUUUUAUCAGACAAAUUCUGUUGGGACAAUGGCAGCAGCAAAAAGAAAAGAACAAGACAGAGAACAAAGGAGGAAGAAACAAAAACAAUUUACUUGCUCACAAACGUGCAACAAGGAAGCAAUCUGAGUUUCACAACUGAUAUGCUUGAUUUUUCAAUAAGAAAAACAAUACAUUUAUAGCCAACUACAUCAGUUAUUAUUACCUAAUACCACUAAGUAGCCUAGUAACUUUAAAAACAUUGCUUACACAAACAAGCCACCUAAACUAGUCAUUCAACACCUAAACAUAUUAAGCUGUCAUAAGCUUGUUCAUUUCCAAGUAGUUUAAUCAACAAAGAAACUAAAAAGAAAAACUUGUUGUUACAGCAAGUAUAUGUGCUGCAGCAUGUCAUCAAGCUGCAUGCACUUCAACCAAAACAUGUAUCAGCAGCAUGGUUGGCCAAUUUCAACACUCCUCCUUGGACUCCAUGCUGCAAAUACCAAUCAUUCAUCAAGUUUUUUGAACUUGGCAACCCUUAGAUGCUUUGUUUCAAGCUGACCAAUUCAUUUUCAACCUUGGCCUCAUUCACAAACAAAUCUGACUUACACACUUGACUAUCCCAGUCUUUUGUGCCAAAGAUUUGUUCACCAAAUGGAGUCUUCUUGAUACGGGGUUGCGCGCGGACCAAGAUCGAGUUGCCAAGUCACGGGAAACUCCUACGAAAACCCUAAACAAUUAGAUCUGAAACGAAACAGAAAAUUAAAAGAUUAGAUUUUUGAAUUUUCAGAUCUGAAAUAAAAUCCCCAAAUCAGCAAAGAAUCAAAUUGAGAAUAGAAAUAAGUGUUAGGGUUCUUGAAACCCUCAAGGAGAUUGUGAUUCUGCCCAAUUGAACACCAAGAUAGUUUUCCCCAAAUUUCGACAAUCUAAUUUCACCCAAAAAGAGUAUGGAAAACCCUAGAAAUUGGAGAUUUUUGGGCUGAUUCCUUAAGAUAGAAAAAGGCUGAAAACACAAUAAGAACAGAAAAUAGAUUAGAUAAUGAUUCAGCACAAGUAGAAAUAAAGAAAGAAUUGACAGUAAGAAAUUAAAAGAUAAGUCCUAAGAAGCCUUGAAAUCUCGAAAGAUCUCACAACUCCCUUCAAACGACUCUAAUCUCCCCUCCAAAGAAUAUCAAUGGCAAGAAGAAGGUUGAAGAUGGCUCCCACAAUCAAAAAGAUUGUUAAAACAACUUCUAAAGAAAACUCAAGAGAAAAUCCUUGAAGAACUCAAAGAGAAUUUUCACUCAAAUCAAAUCUGAAAUUUUCAAUGUAAUUGUAAUGUAGUGUAGGGUGGCUGGCCAAGCCAUAUAAAUAGGCCUUUCAAAUGUUUUCCUAAUUUAAUUAGAACACUAAAACUAAAACUAAAAAAAAAAACUCCUAAUUAUUUUAAUAUGAAAAUUCGGCCAAGGGUCUUUUAUUUGGGACUCCUGGACUGAAUAUAAAUAAAUAAAUAAAUAAAAAUAAAACUUUACAACUUGGGCCACUUUGACAAUUUGGCUUGAUUUUCAACUAAGUAUGGGUGGAUUUCUUGAUUGGGCUUGGAAUCUUCUUAUUGGGCCUCGCCUUCAAGAAUUUGGGCUUUUGUGACUCGUAUCAUUCCCCCUUCCUCAAAAAGAUUCGUCCUCGAAUCUGAAAAAUCAAAUGAACUCGACUUUCCUCUAUCGAACGGGACUAAUGGCAAUUGAGUCCACUGAAAAGAAUAACCAUGAGAUAGUAAAUAGCAACGGAAACAAGCUUGUAGUCCAAUCAUAAGCAUAACAGAACAGGUAUAACGCAUGUGAAUGGACAGAUUCAGAUUACCAUGCAAACAAUCUAAUUUACUCACCACUGUCUCGUCAAAUAUUUGAAACAAAGAUGGACAUGUUUUAAGGCAUUCAGUCGUCUCACAUUGUUCGCACAAACCAUGAAUAAAUUGCGAGUAAUAAAUCAAAUGGUAAACAUAAUCGUCACAAGUAGGUAUUUGAAAAGAUUCACAUGGUUCACAGAGUUGCAUAAUCAUACCAUGCAUUAAUCGACGGUCUAUAGAUUCACUCACACAUGCAUUAUCAAAAACAAGAAUCUUUUUAUCAACCAUCAAAACAGAUAGAUCAUCAAUAAAUAAAAUAGGACAGUUAAGCACGUUUCGAUCUAAGUGUUCAUCAACACGAUCUUUAUCACUAUCCGAGGAGUACAAAAGUGUUUCAAAGGUUUCAAGCAUCUUACCUCGAUAAGCAGAAGAAUAAGGGUCGAUUUUACCUUUUUCAUUUAAAACAAACCUUCGCUCAUCGGGGGCAUAGUGUAAUCGAAUCUCCGUUGUUGAGUUAACCUUUGUCAAAUGGAACUCAAACUUCAUGUACAACGACAUAAACUGUUUAAGGCACGAAUAUAAAUUGAAAACAAAUUUGGAAAAUUUCGUUACCUUAUUCUCCAAAACAGAUUUGGACAAAUUCGAGGAUUUUACACAAGGUAAAUCAAGAGAAUAACAAAUCACGCUUCUUUUCGUAAUGACUUUAUCAACCACAAUCGAAGAGUAACAAUUAAUCGAAUCAAAAUGAGGGGAUCUUUUAAGAACUAAGUCACCAAAAGUUUUAUCAAUAAUUUUCAAAUCUGCACUGGACUCGGUUUCUAAAAUUUCCUUACCUCGCUUACCUUCAGGAUCAUGUAGUGUGAUUUCAUCUUUGCCUAAGUUGAUCGUAUGAAAGCGUCUUUCAUUUGAGAGGUAUUGAAGUUGAAAGUUAUCUUUUGAUCUUUCGGGAACCUGAAAAGUAGCAACACAAGAAAAAUUCAUAUCUUGGUUAGUGGAAACAUUCCUCACUACCCUUUCCAUGUCUUUUUCUUUUGUUUCUUUUUUUAAUUCAUUUUCUCUUCUUUCUUCAAUUUCUUUUUCAAUCUCAAUCUCUUUUUGCUCUUUUUCAUUCUCUUUUUCUUUUUCCUCACUUGUUUUAACAGAAUUUUUCAGUUUGAUUUGGUCCUCAUGGACUUGUUCCGGAGUGAGCGGCACUAAGGUGAGUUUCUUUCCUUGAUGCUUGAAAGAAUACCUAUUGGUACGACCAUCGUGAGUGACUUUUCGAUCUAGUUGCCAUGGUUCUCCUAGCAACAAAUGGCAGGCUUGAAUAGGCAUUACGUCGCACACAACUUCGUCUUGAUACUUACCGAUAGAAAAGGCGAUGCGCACUUGUUGAGUGACCCUAAAUUGGCCUUUGUUGCUAAGCCCUUGUAGUUGAUAAGGUUGUGGAUGCUUGGUAGUGGUUAAGCAAAGCUUUUCCACCAUCGUCGUGCUGGCUAUGUUCGAGCAACUUUCACCAUCAAUAAUAACUCUACAAAGCUUACCUUGUACAUGGCAGCAAGUAUGAAAAAGAUGUUCUCGUUGCUGCUCGCUCUUUGGUUUUGCCAAAGAUGAUUGUCCACGAUCAUGAAAAUCAUCAUCCAUUCUAGGGACACGUUGAGGGCUGCACCUAUAGGGCUGGUUAUCCCUAUCUUCCUUAAUUGGAUCUCGAUAUUGAUGUUUUUGAUUCACUCGUACCUCAUUCAAAGUAGUAUUCAAUGCUUGAAGUGUAGCAUUUAUUUGUGUGAUUGCAGCAGUAUGUUCGUCUAACUGUUGUUGGACUUUCAUAAGUGCAUCAUUAUUAUCACCUUUAGACAUCUUCAAAACCUGUAAAAAAUAAACACUCAACACUCAAAAAUAAAAGUUAGCAAACCUCACCAUUAAUCACUCAAAAAGAAAAAUCAAAUUCUCAAUGAGGUCGAAUUCAAUCUUGUGAGUUUUUUAUCAGAGUUUAUAUCAACCAAUUAGAGAGUGUGAACCAAAUUACCAAAGAAUCCUAAUUUGCACUAGGAUGCCAAAAACUGACGAGACACCAAGUGAUUCGUGUUGCACCGAGGAAGGAGUUGUGCACACGUGUAAAUCCUACUAACACAAGAAACAAAAAGGUGUUAGAUAAUGUAACGGAAGAAUAAAAGCAAACAAAUGAAAACCUACAGCUAAGAAUCAAUAAAAAUUGCUGAAAACAGAAAACCCGAAAAAUUGCGGAGUAACUUGACAACUUCGUUCGAGGUGGUCCCGAUCUCUAAAAAUCACGAAAUUAAAUCUGUAAUGUCCUUAAAUAUUGAAUUUCUUAUCUGGAAAUUUUGGGCACCAAAUUCAACCCACUGAAUCUUUUUUUAAAUUUUUAUUGAAUUUCGUAUUUUUUUAUUAUUUUGACUUUUUUGACUGAUUUUUUUUGCGGGAAUAAUUUUUUUAUAUUCAAUCACAGUGCCAAAAACAUGUAUGUAAAAUUUCAGAUCAAUCGGACAACGUUUACCCACUCAAAUGAAUUUUUUUUAAACAAUUUUUCUGGGUAAAACUGCUGUUUGUGCUUUAAAAAAUAGAGAUCAGUUUAGAAAUCAACCAAGAACACCCAAAACGCCCAAAAUCUGAUACCAAAUGAUACGGGGUUGCGCGUGGACCAAGAUCGAGUUGCCAAGUCACGGGAAACUCCUACGAAAACCCUAAACAAUUAGAUCUGAAACGAAACAGAAAAUUAAAAGAUUAGAUUUUUGAAUUUUCAGAUCUGAAAUAAAAUCCCCAAAUCAGCAAAGAAUCAAAUUGAGAAUAGAAAUAAGUGUUAGGGUUCUUGAAACCCUCAAGGAGAUUGUGAUUCUGCCCAAUUGAACACCAAGAUAGUUUUCCCCAAAUUUCGACAAUCUAAUUUCACCCAAAAAGAGUAUGGAAAAACCCUAGAAAUUGGAGAUUUUUGGGCUGAUUCCUUAAGAUAGAAAAAGGCUGAAAACACAAUAAGAACAUAAAAUAGAUUAGAUAAUGAUUCAGCACAAGUAGAAAUAAAGAAAGAAUUGACAGUAAGAAAUUAAAAAAAAGUCCUAAGAAGCCUUGAAAUCUCGAAAGAUCUCACAACUCCCUUCAAACGGCUCUAAUCUCCCCUCCAAAGAAUAUCAAUGGCAAGAAGAAGGUUGAAGAUGGCUCCCACAAUCAAAAAGAUUGUUAAAACAACUUCUAAAGAAAACUCAAGAGAAAAUCCUUGAAGAACUCAAAGAGAAUUUUCACUCAAAUCAAAUCUGAAAUUUUCAAUGUAAUUGUAAUGUAGUGUAGGGUGGCUGGCCAAGCCAUAUAAAUAGGCCUUUCAAAUAUUUUCCUAAUUUAAUUAGAACACUAAAACUAAAACUAAAAAAAAAAACUCCUAAUUAUUUUAAUAUGAAAAUUCGGCCAAGGGUCUUUUACUUGGGACUCUUGGACUGAAUAUAAAUAAAUAAAUAAAUAAAAAUAAAACUUUACAACUUGGGCCACUUUGACAAUUUGGCCUGAUUUUCAACUAAGUAUGGGUGGAUUUCUUGAUUGGGCUUGGAAUCUUCUUAUUGGGCCUCGCCUUCAAGAAUUUGGGCUUUUGUGACUCGUAUCACUUCUCCUCCUUCACAGCCUUGGUUGACAACACAUCUUGCCUUGUUUCUUUGUUCAUAACAAUCCUGUUUCUUCUUGCACAAACAGUUCGUGAGUAUAGUUUGCUUGCACAAACUGUCUUCAACAGGCUUGCAACUAUACAACACGCAUUGAGCUUCCACAUGUUGCUGAGCUCACACCUUUGACAGACUCACAUCUUUGCAUAUUGUCUUCAACAGGUGUCUUCAAUAGGCUCGCACUUUGCUAAGCUUGCAGCUUUGACAUCUUGCUAAGCUUGCACAUUUGGAAAGCUCACACCUUUCCUUGAAACUCCUCCUCCAGCUUAUUCAAGCUUGUUUGGGGGUCUUAUAAGUUUGAGCCGAUGUUGAGCAGGGGAAGCAAAAUCAAUGGUCCCUUAAGACUUAGGCUCUGAUACCAUUUGUUGGAACAAUGGCAGCAGCAAAAAGAAAAAGAACAAGACAGAGAACAAAGGAGGAAGAAACAAAAAUAAUUUACUUGCUCACAAACGUGCAACAAGGAAGCAAUCUGAGUUUCACAACUGAUAUGCUUGAUUUUUCAAUAAGAAAAACAAUACAUUUAUAGCCAACUACAUCAGUUAUUACUACCUAAUACCACUAAGUAGCCUAGUAACUUUAAAAACAUUGCUUGUACGCAAACAAGCCACCUAAACUAGUCAUUCAACACCUAAACAUAUCAAGCUAUCAUCAGCUUGUUCAUUUCCAAGUAGUUUAAUCAACAAAGAAACUAAAAAGAAAACUUGCUGUUACAGCAAGUAUAUGUGCUGCAGCAUGUCAUCAAGCUGCAUGCACUUCAACCAAAACAUGUAUCAGCAGCAUGGUUGGCCAAUUUCAACAAAUUCUCAGCAAAUGUCCAUCACUGCUACUCCAGACGAAUGCUAAAGGUCAAACUCCUUUGCACGUUGCAGCAAGGUAUGGAAAUUCUACUAUUGUGAAACUUCUAAUCAAGUCUUGUGCAAAAGCUAGAGAUGGAGAUUUAGAGAAGCUGGGAAUGGAUCAAGUAAAUGCAGUGGGGGAGAUGCUGAGGAUUACAGAUCAGGAAUCCAACACGGCUUUACACGAAGCAGCACGGCGUUACAAUGUUGAAGUGGUGAAAGCAUUAUGUUGGAGUUUGAAGACCCUGAUUUUCCGUAUUCCGCCAACAAAAAACAGGAGACUCCACUUUACAAUGUUGAAGUGGUGAAAGCAAUGCUGCACACUUGGGUUAUAGAUUAUCAGUUGUGGAAGAAGUGUUAAAAAGGGAUGUAUCAGCUGCCUAUAUAAGUGAUAAAAAGAGGGGGAUGACACCCCUGCUUAUGGCAGCCAGGUAAAGCUAUCUUGGAACAGUUUCAAAGAUUCUCUCUUUAUGUCCAGAUUGUUGUGAAAAAGUGGACAACAAAGGUUUGAAUUUACUUCAUUACCUGGUUUUUAGAGGCGCUUUCUCUCCAUUAAGAGUUUCUCCUUUGAAAUGACACUCAAGAAGUUUAUUAUGCACUUCGAUCUAAGAAACAAGAUCAGAAACAAGUGUGUGUAUAUAUUGUAUUUCCAUGGCUAUGGUUUUAUUAAUAUUUAAGUUUUGAAUUAACAUAUUUAAUAAAUCUUCAAUACAAUCAGCUAAUGUGGGUGGCAUGGCAGAAACAAAUCAAUGAUUUGUUGGAAGAAAUUGAGACUGAUCAAGUGGCGGAGGACCCAGUUCAACUCAAUCUCUUGCCAACUAUCUCUGCAGAAAGCUUGGAGAAGACAAGAGAUGCUCAUUUAGUAGUGGCAGCACUUAUAGCCACCAUCGCAUUUGCAGCGGUAAUCCCGGUGGUUUGAAUAGCGAAAAAGGGUCAGAGCAAGGCGCUCCCCUUUUGAUUGAUGAGGCGGCAGCCUUUAAAGCAUUUGUUGUAACAAAUGCAUUGGCCUUUAUUCUCUCUGUUUCUGCCAUCUUCAUCCACUCCGGGGUUCUGGGUAAUAUGUUAUCAGGAUUUAAGUUUGGGCAUCGGACAGUUUUAUAUCGAACUCUGUCUGUUUCUGGGAUCCUUUUUCUAUGCAACGUUUGCAAUGUUGAUUGCUUUCAGCACAGGCUGUUAUGUGGUCUUAAAACCUUCCCACGGACUUGCCAUUGUUUCAUAUCUCAUCUACCCUGCCUUUUUUGUCUUUAUGUUGCUAAUUUUGAAUCUUACAUCAUAUAUGUAACAUAUAAAUAUGAGAAUAUUACUUUAUCACGGAUUACUAUUCUUCCAAUUCCUAGUGUCAAUGUUCUCUUUGAAGAAAUAUUACUUUUAAGUUUUUUUUAGAUAUAUCUAACUCAUCAGUAUUGUUGCGGAAAGGAUCGAUUCGAGAACUCCGAUAUGACUACAAGUAAAUUGACCGAAACGAAAAAUAAAGUGAACACAAGGAUUUACGUGGUUCGGCUUUAAUGCCUACGUCCACGGGCAGAGGCGAAAAGAAAUUUCACUAUAACAAGAUGAAGAUUACAAGUGUUUUACACUCAAGACACAACCCGAGAACCUCACAACUCUCAACCCCUAUAGAAAACCCGAAAGCUAAAAUCCUAGCUUUCAAAGAACAAGCUUUGCUCUCUCUUGGUUUGGGAUGAUUAAUAUGGCUAAUGAACCUCUCUAUUUAUAAGAGAGUUCAAGGACAUAAUUGUCCAAAACUUUGGCAAAGAUUUGUGGUUGAAAAUGGACACCAACAACCAUCCACUAAUCCACUACCACCAACAACCCACUACCAACAACAACAAUCCACUACCAAUUUUAAGCCAUUUCUUAACAAAUCUCCACCUUGGCUUGAAAUUUACCAAGCUGAACAUCAUAGUGAACUGGAUCACCUCUUCCAAACGCCUCUCUGGCGCUAAUCAAUCCCGAAUACCUAUCAAGUCCAAGCAAUGCUUGAACUUAUAUGCAGGGAUCACCUUAGUUAACAUAUCUGCAGGAUUCUUCUCGGUAGCAACCUUGCUGAUAACAAUGUCACCUUGCGUAACAUGUUCCCGAACAAAAUGAUAUCUGACAUCAAUGUGUUUGGUCCGUUCAUGAAACAUCUGAUUUUUAGUCAGAUGUAUGGCACUCUGGCUAUCGCAAAAUACAACAGUGAAAUCCUGUUGUAAACCCAAACUGCUUACUAGACCUUUCAUCCACAAUGCUUCUUUCACUGCUUCUGCUAACGCCAUAUAUUCCGCCUCAGUCGUAGAUAAGGCUACGGUAGACUGUAACACAGCUUUCCAACUAAUGGCUCCUCCAGAAUAAGUGAAAACAUAACCCGUCAGAGAUCUUCUUUUGUCCAGAUCUCCAGCAUAAUCAGAGUCCGCAUAGCCCGUGACACUGCUAGUGCAGUCACUCUGAUCAUAUACCAAGCAUAAAUCUGCAGAACCUCUCAAGUACCUGAGAAUCCAUUUCACGGCCUGCCAGUGUUCCUUGCCAGGACAACUCAUGUAUCUGCUGACCACACUAACUGCAUGUGAAAUGUCUGGACGAGUGCAAACCAUUGCAUACAUCACGCUUCCAACUGCACUCGAGUAUGGAAUGUGAGACAUUUGCUGCUUUUCUUCAUCAGAUUGUGGUGACAACUCUGCAGAGAGUUUGAAAUGUGGUGCCAACGGAGUACUCACAGUUUUCGCUUUAUCCAUGCCGAAGCGUUGAAGAACCUUUUCAAUGUAGUUCUUCUGCGACACACGAAGCUUGCCCGCCUUGCGAUCUCUGUGAAUAUCCAUGCCCAAAAUUUUCUUGGCAGCACCCAGAUCCUUCAUCUCGAACUCACCACUCAACUGCGACUUUAACUUGUUGAUUUCCGACAUGUUUUUGGAAGCAAUUAACAUGUCAUCAACAUACAGCAACAAAUAAAUGUGCGAACCAUCUGAGAGCUUCCGAUGAUAGACACAAGCAUCAUAGUCACAUCUUGUGUAACCAUGCUGAAUCAUGAAGCUAUCAAACCGCUUGUACCACUGCCUUGGGGAUUGUUUCAAUCCAUAUAAAGACUUCUUUAAUAGACAGACAUGGUCUUCUUUACCAGGAACUGUAAAACCCUCUGGUUGACGCAUGUAGAUUGUUUCCUCGAGCUCACCAUGCAAGAACGCCGUUUUUACGUCAAGCUGCUCAAGUUCUAGAUCAGACUUGGCCACCAUGGCAAGUAAUACACGAAUGGAAGAAUGCUUUACGACUGGGGAGAAAACUUCAUUGUAGUCAAUCCCCUCUUUCUGAGUGAAGCCUUUAGCAACCAAUCGUGCCUUGAAUCUAGUUGCUUCAACCCCUAGGAUGCCUUCCUUUUUCUUGAAGACCCAUUUGCAACCAACUAUCUUCUGGUUACUUGGCGGCUUAACCAACUCCCAAGUAUGGUUCUUGUGAAGAGAUUCUAUCUCCUCACUCAUAGCAAUUGCCCACUGUGCCGACUCAUCACACGUGACAGCCUCAUUAUAACUGGAAGGUUCUAUACCAAUGGACUCCGCCACACUGAGCGCGAAAGACACCAGAUUAGCGUAACGCGGAUUUGGUUUGAUUUGUCUCUUCGUUCUUCCAGUGGCAAUGCUAUAUGGUUUUUCUUGAGGUGACUCAUCUUCAUCGGAAUCUUGCACCUCAACUUGAUCAUCCUGGACUGAAGUACCUUCCGUAGGAAUUGGAGCGUCCACCUGACACUCCACCUGCUUCUCAACACCGUGAUCUCCCAUUCUAUCUGACUCCUCCUUUUCCCGGGAAUUUGUGGUGGAUCGAAGCAUGGAUGACUCAUCAAAAGUCACAUCUCUGCUGAUGAUGAACUUGGACGAAACCGGAUCAGGACACCACAACCUGUAUCCUUUCACCCCUUGGCCGUAUCCAAGAAAUAUGCAUUUCUUCGCCCUCGGUUUGAGUUUUCCCUCAUUUACAUGAGCAUACGCAGGGCAGCCAAACACUCUUAAACCAGAGUAAUCAGCAGGAGAACCAGACCAUACUUCCUCAGGAGUCUUCAGCUCAAUAGCUGUUGACGGAGAUCUGUUAACCAAAUAACAAGCAGUAUUAACAGCUUCAGCCCAAAAUUCUUCACCGAGCCCAGCAUUUGAUCGCAUGCAACGAGCUCGCUCCAAGAGAGUUCUAUUCAUGCGUUCUGCAACUCCAUUUUGUUGUGGUGUUCGACGAACAGUGCGGUGUCUCACUAUUCCUUCAUUUUUGCAGAACUCAUUGAAUUCACCUGAGCAAAACUCCAAGCCAUUAUCCGUCCGGAAUCGCUUGAUCUUCUUUCCUGUUUGAUUUUCGAUCAAAGCUUUAAAUUGCUUGAAGUUGAUGAGAACCUCAUACUUGCUCUUCAGAAAAUACACCCAAACCUUUCUCGAGUAAUCAUCGAUAAAGGUAAGCAGAUAUCUGUAACCACCUUUAGAAAUUGUCGGAGAAGGCCCCCAAAGGUCAGAAUGGAAGUAAUCCACUGUGCCUUUUGUCUUGUGAAUCCCAGUGCUGAACUUUACCCGAGUCUGCUUACCGAAGACGCAGUGCUCACAGAAAUUCAACUUUCCUGUACACUGCCCAGACAAUAAUCCUCGUUUGCUUAGCACCGAUAAGCCUCUCUCGCUCAUAUGCCCGAGCCGCAUAUGCCAUAACUUCGUGGUGUCAGAAUCUAGAUCAUCUGAUGAUGACACUCCCGCAACACCUGUAACCGAGGAACCAUCGAGGAAGUAAAGGCCUCGCUCCAAAUUACCACGUAUCACAGUCAAAGCACCCGAGAAUACCUUGAGAACUCCACCUUCAGCAGAGUACCGAAAGCCUUUCUUGUCCAACGUACUCAAAGAGAUCAAAUUUUUCUUCAUUUCUGGAAUGUGCCGAACAUCAGUUAGAGUUCUAACAAUACCGUCAAACAUCUUUAUACGAACUGUGCCAAUCCCCAUGACUUGACAUGCGUGGUCAUUUCCCAUUAGUACUGAACCAGAAUGCUUCUCGUAUGUUGAGAAUGCAUCUUUCGAAGUACUUAUAUGAAAUGUAGCUCCCGUAUCAAGAAUCCAUCUCCCACCAGCGUAAGAGUCGGAUACUGCAAGAACGAUCUCGGCAUCACUUGAAGAAUCUGCAUCAGCUACAUUCGCACGAUCAUUUUGUUGCUCCUGUGAUUCUGAUUUCUCCUUCCUUUUCGGACAAUCUACCUUCAUGUGCCCGUACUUCUUACAGUAGUAGCACUGUAUUCUCUUCUUGGACUGCGAUCUAGGAUGGCUUUUACUUGAACUUCCACCCUUUGCCUUGGAUCUUCCUCGAGCAACCAAGCCUUCGCCUUCAUUGUUUUCGACCACCUUACCAGUGAUUUUCUUCCUCAACUCACUGGAACUUAAGGCAUUUUUCACCUCCUCUAGAGUCAGGUCAUCACGACCGUACAUCAUUGUAUCAACAAAAUUCUCAUACGAGGGAGGCAAAGAACACAAAACAAUUAUUGCUUGGUCCUCAUCAUCGAUUUUGUUAUCGAUAUUAUUCAAAUCCAUGAUAAUGGAAUUGAAUUUAUCCAGGUGCUGGGAAACAGGUGUACCUUCCUCCAUCUUCAGGGCAUAGAGUCUUUGCUUGAGGUAGAGCCGGUUCGUCAAUGACUUCGUCAUGUACUUGCUUUCUAACCGGAGCCACAAACCGGACGCGGUUUUCUCAUCCGCUACUUCUCGUAGCACUUCAUCUCCUAGACAUAGCAGAAUAGCACUAUGUGCUCUUUCUAGCAUGUCAUCCUUUUGCUCUUCCGAAAGCGUGCUUGGUAAUUUAUCUUUACCAGACAAUGCUUUUAGCAAUCCUUGUUGAACCAGCACUGCCCGCAUCUUGAUGCGCCAUAAACUGAAACUAUUUUUCCCGGUAAAUUUCUCGACAUCAUACUUAGUCGAUGAAACACUUGUAGCCAUAAUUUGGAACCUUUGAAUGAAUGAUAAUAUUUUCUUCCUGAUGUGAAAGAUCAGACAAAGCUGCAGUCACAGGGCAAUUCAGAAAAUAUUAUCACUCCUUCAACUACGCUCUGAUACCAAUUUGUUGCGGAAAGGAUCGAUUCGAGAACUCCGAUAUGACUACAAGUAAAUUGACCGAAACGAAAAAUAAAGUGAACACAAGGAUUUACGUGGUUCGGCUUUAAUGCCUACGUCCACGGGCAGAGGCGAAAAGAAAUUUCACUAUAACAAGAUGAAGAUUACAAGUGUUUUACACUCAAGACACAACCCGAGAACCUCACAACUCUCAACCCCUAUAGAAAACCCGAAAGCUAAAAUCCUAGCUUUCAAAGAACAAGCUUUGCUCUCUCUUGGUUUGGGAUGAUUAAUAUGGCUAAUGAACCUCUCUAUUUAUAAGAGAGUUCAAGGACAUAAUUGUCCAAAACUUUGGCAAAGAUUUGUGGUUGAAAAUGGACACCAACAACCAUCCACUAAUCCACUACCACCAACAACCCACUACCAACAACAACAAUCCACUACCAAUUUUAAGCCAUUUCUUAACAAGUAUUAACAAUCUCCAUUUAAUUGAAAUCAAUGUUAUUAGUUGAUAAAUACACAUUUUCAAAAAAAAAUUAAAAAAAUUCAUAAUUUAUGUAAAGUAAAAUUUAUUAAAUAUCAAAAAAUAAUAAAUAUGUUGUAACUAAUUUUCCGUUAUAAUUAAAAAUUAGUUUGAGGAAUCAUUGAAAAAUAUGAGAUUUUUAAGUUCACCACCAAUUUUUGUUGGCUAGGUGUGAUCAAACACCUAUAAAAUCACUCUUUAAAAAGAAAAUUUUGAUUUAAAAAAAAAUUAAUUUUGGGUACGAUAGAAAUUCAGAAAAUAAAUAUUUAAGUUCAAGAGUUGAUUACGUGAAAAGAAGGUUUUAGCACCCAUGCCUAAAAUUGAUAGUUUGUUAAAUAUAUUCGUCAAUUAAAAUUUAUAUCUCGGUAUUUAAUUAAAAUCAAAAAUUUUGAUAAAUUAAAAAUAAAUAUAUGAAAGAUGUCCAGAUUGUUGUGAAAAAUUGGAAAAAAGAGGUUUGAAUUUACUUCAUUAUUUGGCUUUUAGAGACCGUUCCUACAAUUAAGUCAUUCUCUUUUCAUGACUGGUGGUACUAUGGCUGCAUAUGGAUCAAUAAGAAAUCUAAUGAAGUUGAAAGGUGACUUUGGAUUUACAGCAGCAAUAACUCUACCUGGUGGUUUGAAUAGUGAAAAAGGAUCAGAGCAGGGCAAUCCUUUUCUGAUUGAUGAGGCAGCCUUCAACAAAUGCAUUGGCCUUUAUUCUCUGUUUCUGCCCUCUCCAUCCAGUUUGGGAUUCUGGAUCUUCUUUUAUGUUUCUAAUCUCCUUGAUUGUGCAGUGGUUGUGAUGGUGAUUGCUUUUAGCACAAGUUGUUAUGUGGUUUUAAAACCUUCCCAUAGACUUGGUACCGAUUCAUGUUUCAUUUGCCCUGCCUUCUUUGUUUAUUAUUACAUACAACAAUACCUAGCUCUUGUGAAGAUGUCGUACUAAAAAGUACUCAUAUUGUGUGAGACAAUAAAACGAAGAGCUCAUGGAGGCCCUCAUGAUAGAACAAUUUUGCAUGCAGCAGUUAUGGCUGUAGAUGCCAGGCAAUUACAUAUGCAAAUAUAUUUAUUAACAACUUCAUUCCCCCCCAUCUCUGUAUUAAACCGAAAGUCCAUGUGAUUCCAACUGUUAAGCACCAUGGGAAGUGUUGAAAUAUAUAGGAAGUAAUAAGAAUUUUAUACAUAAUAAUAAAUUUACUAAUUUGACAUUUUUCGUAAUUAAAUUUAGCGUUUAAUUUUUUAAAAAGAGUCAAAUUUGAUCAUUUACUUUUAAAAACUAUUUAAUUAUCGUUUUUACACUAAAAUAUUAAAAUUUUAAAUAUAGUAGUUCGCGUGAAAGUUGGCAUGAACUUCAUGUUAACUUUUUCAACUUUUAAAUUUUUUAUAAUUUUUAAAUUAUUUCUUGACGUGCCGGAUAAAUAGUGUUAUCUCACCGUUUACGAGUUUUUCCAUUCCUAUGAUAAAAAGAGAAACGAGAUCAGAUUUUAUGGAACAAAUUCUCAGCAAGUGUCCGUCACUGCUACUCCAAACGAAUGCUAAAGGUCAAACUCCUUCGCACCUUGCAGCAAGGUAUGGGCAUUCUGCUAUUGUGAAACUUCUAAUAAGUCUUGCGCAAAAGCUAGAGAUGGAGAUUUAGAGAAGCUGGGAAUGGAUUGAGUAAAUGCAGCGAGGGAGAUGCUGAGGAUUAGGGAUCAGGAAUCCAACACCGCUUUACAUGAAGCAGCACGGUGUGGCACAGGGAUUUAAAUUGCGGUCGCGGUCGUAUUUUCGGUCGCGUCGCGUUUGUCGCGGUUGCAGACAUAACGGACGCUAUUGCGAUUACUGCGGGUAUCACGGUCGUGAAUUUUUUUAAAAUUCGUACAACUUAUUAUAAAAUAUAGGAAUUAUAAUUAUAAUUAUAAAAAGUCAUUUUUUAUGAUUUUUAGAGUUUUAAAUAUUUAGACUUUGAUUGCUUUUUGCUAUUUAUUUGGACUUCUUUUUUUUUAAUAACAUUAUAUUAGGCUUUUAUUAAUAAAACAAAAUUAUAAAAACUGCACACUUAUAAUUCUAAAAAGCCCAAAGCAGAUGGCCAAAAGUAAAAAAAUCUAGAUAUUUUUAAAGUAAAAAAAUCUAGAUAUAAUCCUAAAAAAAGGCACCGAUUCCUUGCCCAAUCAGCUGAAAUCUGCCCUCUCUUCUUCCCAUAAUCCAUCAUUUCAUUUUCAAUUUGACCAUUUCCUUUUUCAAAACUUUUCCUUCCGAACCGUUCCAUUUUCUUAUUGUUUUGAAGCUUUCUUCCUUCCGUUCUUCCUCUCCUGGUGCUUUCUAGUCUGGUUCACAUAGCCAAUCGUAUCUUCUUUGUUCUUCAGCGUACUCAGGCCCUCAGGGAGCUCCAUUUCCAGGCAUACCUCCUCUUUUUUGUUUUUUGUUCUUUUUCCUGUUGUCUUCUUUGUUCUUUGUUCUUUUUCCUUUUUUUGAUUGAACUGUGUUUCAGUGUUUCUGUUGAUUUUUGUUUAGAGGGGAUGAUUUUUUUUAAUUUGCUGUUAACAGAAAAUAACGGGAAUAGCGGCCCGUUAUUGCCGCAAUUGGCCGUUACCCGUUAAAUUGCGGCCGUGAUCCACCGCUAUCGGUGUGACUCCGCUUCUCACCGCUAUUUUCAGCAAUUGCGGUUUCGGACGGCGCCGCUACCGCUAUAUAACGGCCGCUAUUUCGGUAACGGACCGUUAUUUAAAUCCCUGGUACUGUGGCAUUGUCGAAGUGGUGAAAGCAUUGUUGGAGUUUGAAGACCCUGAUUUUCCGUCUUCUGCCAACAAAAAACAGGAGACUCCACUUUAUAUAGCAGCUAUGGCUGGAGAUGCAGGUAUGCUGUUGAUAUUAAUAAUUUUGAUAAAAUGUCUGCAAUUUGUUAAAAUGCAACCUGAAGCUUAGAAAACUUUCCAGCAUCAGAAUUAACAGGAAGAGCUUACAUCAUGAUUUCAUGGAUUAUGAACUAUACAUUUAAAUUACAAAUUGAUAGAAGUUGUUUUUGUUAGUACAAAUUUUCGAUGAGGAAAAUUUCGAACAUACGAACGAAACUUGAACAGCAAAUAAAGAAAUAAGACAAGGCUUCAAAGUGUGUAUCAAGUCGCUAUUUUUAAGGUUAUAUUCGCCUCCACCUAUGUUUAGUGUGCAAAAGAGUUUCGAGUAAAUUAAUCUCAAGGAUACAAUGAAGCCGAUGACUAUUUGUGUUUUGCACUGAUGAAAAUAAAUCGCUAAGCACUGAGCAAUAUAUAACAAGAAACUCAAUUUUAAAAAAAAAAAUUACAGUAAUACUUUAUAGAAUAAUCUAAUAAUAUUUGAAGAUGGAGGAAGGAAAGAAAGAAUUUUAGAAUUUGUUGAUAUAAUUUUCAAAUAAAAUCUCAUUCCUAUUUAUAAGAAUUUUCAUGUUUCUCCGUAUACUCUUCGUAGACUCUUUAAGAAAGUGAGAAUUUUAUCCAAUUAAUGUUUUUGUUUCUUGUUUUGUUUAAUGAAGACCAGAAGUUAGGAAGCUCGACAAGAGUUUAAGCGUCCGUUUUGUUUGUUGUUAUUUUCAUUAAUUCCUAAUCUAAUUUGAUUCUACAGUUUUAUAACGUUAUUAAUUAAUCAAAAUUGUUAAUACAAUUAAUUUUUUGAUUAAAAAAUUUCAUGAUUAUAUAUAAUUUGAAUGUUUUAAGGGUUUUAGAGAUGAAUACGUGACUCAUUAUUUCUUUUAGGUUUGCCUUACUUUUUUUUAUAUUAUAAGAAAAUGAUCAAAUUUUAAUUUUAGCCCUUACACAAUGUGAAAAUUUGGGAUUUAAUUUAUAUACAUUAUUUUUUACAUAAUUUGAUCAUUCUUCUUUUACAAUGUCAUUAGUUAGCCCUUACACAAUGUUGGCAUCAAUAUUUUUAGGAAUCCUAUUCCAAGAAAAAAAUAUUCAUGACGAGUUCGAAUGAAUGUUCUAAAGGAAAAAUCUAUAUAAACAUUUUCAAUGUUAUUUUUAUUUUUAUAUGACUACCAAGUAAUUUUUUUUAAUUUUCAAAAUAUCACACUAACAAAUUUAAUAGAAGAAUUUUAGUAGUAGUAAUGAUUGAACCUAAAAUUUUAAAUCUAAAAAACAGAGGGUCUAAAGUUCUAAAAAUAAAAGUAUGCUUAAAGUAUAUUGUCCUUUAAAUUGUACUGCAUAAUUUAAUACAAAUAAAUAAUGAACCCUUUGCGAAGCAUGAGAUUCAUACUAGUUUAUGAUUAGGUUAAUGGACAUUAAUUACCAAAUUUGCUAAAGUGUCUAUUUGAUGAAAUAAAGCAAUCACACGUCUAAAACAUAUAAGGUUGUGGAAUGCUUGUACUAUUAUAAAUAGAGGUGGUUUCUCCACUUUUAGAUUAUCCCGAAAUUUGUUGUUUUUUUUUGUAAUUUUCUAUUUUAUCUUUUGCAGUAUAAUAUAUUUGGUAAUAUUCAAGGACGUAGGCAUAAUUUGCUGAAUCUCAUCAAAAUUUUGGUGUUUUUAUUAUUUUUUUUUUCUCAAUAUUUUGUAGAGUAUAUUUGUAGUGAUAUAUUGGGCUUUAAGCAGGAUUAUAUGUGACCCUUUCAAUCUUUAUUGAGAAUUGAACAAGUAUUUUUUACGACAAUAAUUUACUCACUUGUAUCCGGUUCACACAACACUAUUAACUCUUUAUGAUUAUACUAACAAUUUAGUCUUAUUUUUCUCUUUUGAUAGUAAAAAAGUAGCAGCAAAAAGCUUCAAAACAAACCAAAUCAAAGACUAAACUAGUUUCCAUGGUAAGUAAGCAGGUCCAAAACACCAGGUGAUGGCUCUUCAAAAAAAUGCAGAGUAAUUCCCAAAUCAGGACCCAGCGGCGCCAUAAAGUCUGCAAUCUUAGUAGCUUCCCGUCUCUUAUGCAUAAAUUGGAAUCCAUCUGCCAAUAGCUUGGUCAUUAGUCGCCUCUUUAAAAUAUCCAUCGCCCCUCACAUUUUCCGAUUCAAUGAUAACCUUCCGAUAGCCUUGGCGGCGGGCCAACAAUUUAGUAUUUUAAUCAUCUUUAACAACUUUGUUUUGGCCCCAUUUGCUAAUUUUAAUUAUUUUUUAUUAUUAAAAUUAAAAUUAAAAAUUCAGAUUGACCCAUACUUACCUAACCUUUGAAUUAGAUUGAUAAACUACAUAUAGAUAAAUCCAUAUAUGACAAAUUUUUUAUAAUUAAAAUUUAGUAUACCGUCAUAAGUGUGUCAUAAUUUAGUGAUAUAUAAAUUUAAAAAUGAUAAUUUUGAUGUUUAUACUGUUAGAGAUUGUAUGACCCAAAUCUCGUCACUUUAAAUAAAAUACAAAGUCAAAAUAAGGAGAUCUAUGGGGACGAAGGAUUUUUCAAGCUUUAAAUAGAUGUAGUCGAAAUUCUUCUUGUUUUAUUCAUUUUUCAAUAUUAGUGAAUUUCUCCUGCCCCAUGAUUAUUUCCAAAAAGAUUUUCACAUAAAAUUUAUAUUUUUUUUUCUUUUCUUAUCGAUUUGCAAUUAUUCUACUAUCAUUAUUGACGUCGAUAAUGGAAUUUGACAACGAAAAGAGAUGAAGUGUAUUUCAUCUGCCCUUCCAACUUUGUCAAAUUCCCAUGGACGUUGCCAUCGUUUUAUGUUUGAUCUGCUCUGCUUUUUAUUAUUAUUAUUACUUACAACAAUACCUAGCUUUGUUGAAGAUGGUUUUGUAGUGAUAAUCAAGAAUUUUCUUAACUUCAUUUAUUUCCCCAAAUAUCUGUGAAAGGGAAUUAAAUCUCCAUAUGAAGCCAAAGUGGAUGUGGUUCCAAGUGUUGAGCAGCAUAGGAAGUAAUCAAAAUAUAUAUGUCGCACUGCAAGGAAUUCAAGGCUGCCUUGUCCACAACACAAAGGCUUAUAGCUGCUAAGCACCUGCUCUUAAAUUUGAUUAUGGCCUAAUAAACAACAUAGGGCAGCAUUGACUUCACCGCAAAGAGCUGUACACCGCAUUUUCUUCCAUUCUUCUUCUUUGCAGUUUCUUAAACCCAAAUUUCACCAUAAAAAACUCCUAAAAAUGAUGGAUUUGGUGCGUCUACUUUUCAACAAUUUUUAGUAUUUUAAUCAUCUUUAGCAACUUUGUUUUAGGGCCAUUUGCUUUUCUUUUCGUUACAAUUAAGUCAUCAUAUGAUAAUAACAUUUAGUGUAAGUUAUACAAAUAGUCCUUUAAUUAUUAGCACAUUAUUAGUUUGGUCACUCAUGUUUAAAAAAAGUCUAAUUUAGUCACUAACGUUAUGGACAAUUGAUAUUUUUGUCAUUCCUCAUUCAAUCAUUAAUAGAAUGCUGAUGCAACUUUUUUUUAUUGGCAUAUUAAUAAAUUUAGCCUUUCAAUCUCUAUAAAUUCCAGUAAUUUGAUUUACACAUUAUGUUAACUUAAUCUUCAUUCUUAAUUUUUUUUUUUAAAACUUAAAAACUAAAAAUAUAUAUUUAAUUUUUUUUUCUAUAAAAUACAUAUACAAAAUUAUAAAAUACAUAAAAAUAUAAAAAUAUUUAUAAAUAAAUGAAUACUAUUUUUUUCUUCAAAGAAAAUAUAGGGUUUAGUCUGAAUGAGUCAAUAUUAACUAACAUGACCAAAAUUUAGUGUGUAACAGUUUUCUGAGCUACCAAACACAGUCUUAGAAUAAAAAAAGAACAUAGAGCAGCAUUAACUUGACCACGAAGAGCUGUAGACCCCAUUUUCUUCCAUUCUAUUCUUUAAUUCUUCUCCUUCUUUGCAGUUUCCUUAAAACCAAAUCUCACCAUAAAAAACUCCUACUUUAUUGACCUCACUUCCAACCCAAUAUGCCACUUUUACUAAAGUGUUCAACUAUAUAAAGUUUUCAUUCGUAGGUGACUUGAAUGCAGGCAUAUGCAAGCAAGUAACUAACUGGAAAGGAAUUUGGUAAAUUUCUGAUUUGCAGUAUUUUUUUUCUUGAGCUUGGAAUGCUUCAAGCUAAUUAAUUAAAUUCUGUUUAGUGUUAUCCAGGAAGAAAUAGAUCCAGAAAAAAGGAACCUCGGAAGCCUGAACAGAACAUCACUCACAUGGAGGCUUCGCUAUAUAAUGCAGCAGCAGAAGGAAACAUUGAAGUAUUCAAUAAUAAACAGGGGCUUCAACUUGAGUCGCUAAAGACCCCAAACCAAGACAACGUGCUCCAUGUUAACUUGGCAACCGAGGAGACUGUCAAAUUCUCAAUAAUCAAAAUCUUCUCCGUAGGAUUUGUACCAGCCUAUCCGUUUUUGAAUUUAUUCGUUACUAUGAUAAAAAGAGAAAAAAAAUCAGAUUUUAUCGAACAAAUUCUCAGCAAGUGUCCGUCACUGCUAUUCCAAACGAAUGCUAAAGGUCAAACUCCUUUGCACGUCGCAGCAAGGUAUGGACAUUCUGCUAUUGUGAAACUUCUAAUCAAGUCCUGCGCAAAAGCUAUAGAUGGAGAUUUAGAGCUGGGAAUGGAUCAAGUAAGUGCAGUCAGGGAGAUGCUGAGGAUUACGGAUCAGGAAUCCAACACGGCUUUACAUGAAGCAGCAGGGUGUGGCAAUGUUGAAGUGGUGAAAGCAUUGUUGGAGUUUGAAGUCCCUGAUUUUCCGUAUUCUGCCAAUAAAAAACAGGAGACUCCACUUUAUAUUGCAGCUAAGAGAGGAGACGGCGGCGUGCUGAGUGUAAUAUUAGAUAAAUCAAAAUCAGCAGCUCAUGGCGGCCCCCACGGUAGAACAGCUUUGCAUGCAGCAGCUAUGGCUGGAGAUGCAGGUAUGUUGUUGAGUUAGUUCCAUUUUUUUUUUAAUUUGAAAUAAAUAAAGAACAGGUCUAUUGACAUUUUUUUUUUUUGCUUGGAUUUAGAGGCAAUAAGGAUAAUAUUAGAGAAGAAGGGGAAUUUGACAAAGGAAAGAGAUGAAGAUGGACACACCCCUCUUCAUUAUGCUGCACACUUGGGUUCUAGAUUAUCAGUUGUGGAAGAACUGUUAAAAAGGGAUGUGUCAGCUGCCUAUAUAGGUGAUAAAAAGAGGGGGAUGACACCCCUUCUUAUGGCAGCCAGGGAAGGUAAUGGUGGAACAAGGGCAAAGAUUCUCUCUUUAUGUCCAGAUUGUUGCGAAAAAGUGGACAAUAAAGGUUUGAAUUUACUUCAUUAUACGGCUUUUAAAGACUGUCUUCCCAUCAGGGAGUUCUGUUUUUAAGCGUGGUGGUGUUGAGAUUGUAUAUGGAUCAGUUAGAAAUCUAACGGAGUUGGAAGGUGCCUGUAAAAUCUAAUGGUUUUGCAUUUCCAUGGCUACUGUUUUAUUAAUAUUUAAGUUUUGAGUUAACAUAUUUAAUAAACCUAUAAUACAAUCGGUUAAUGUGGGUGGCAUGACAGAAGCAAAUCAAAGAUUUGUUGGAAGAAAUUGAGAAUGAUCAAGUGGCAUAGGAACCAGUUCGUCACUUUCACUUACCAAAUGUUUCUAUAAAAAGAUUGGAGGCUAUAAGAAAUACUCAUUUAAUAGUGGCAGCACUUAUAGCCACCAUCACCUUCGCAGCGGUAAUAACUGUUCCUGGUGGUUUGGAGAGUGAAAAGGGGUCAAAGCAAGGUAAUCCCUUUUUGAUUCAUGAGGCAGCCUUUAAAGCAUUUGUUGUAAAUUGGCCUUUAUUUUCUCUGUUUCUGCCUGUUGGGAUUUGGAGAAUGAUAGAUGAAGGUUAACAGAGCUUGAGCAACAAUGCUGUAUGUUUGCUGGUGAAAUAAACAGAAUCGGGCUUGGGAACAAAGAAAAUGAAAAACAAGAAAAGAGAGUUUUGGAUGAAAUUUUGAAAAUGAUUUCAUUAACAUUGAUUGAAGGCACAAAGCCAAUACAUAAACCAGACAUUUAGCCGGUCAAAUCAAAACAAAUUGUCACCUAACAUUACCUACUAUCACUAAGUAACAUUGGAACUUAUGAAAACAUUGCUUGCACACAUAGGUAUACUGAUUUAUCAAUCUAUCAGUACCUAAUUACAUCAAAACAAUAUCAAUUUAGUUCAAAUCUGACUAAAUUACAAAGCGAUAUUUAAGGUAACAAAACGAAAUGAAAUACAAUAGCAGUAAUGUGCUUCAGCAGCUGCAUGCAUACUUCAUGUGUUGUAAGUGCGGCUUGAUCUGCUUGUUCAUACUUUAUGUGCUGUAAAUGCGGUAUCCAGGCCAACUUCAACACUCCUCCUUGGCUUGCAUGCUGCAUACUCCCAUUUUAGCUCUCAAAUGCACGAACCUUGAACACUAAUGGGCUUUGUUAAGAUAUCAGCAAGUUGUUCUUUAGAACUGCAAUGAAUUAGCUUCACUUCUUGAGCUUGCUCCAUCUCUCUAACAAAGUGAAAUUUGAUCUUGAAGUGUUUCAUUCUUCCAUGGAAUACUGAAUUCUUUGCAAUUGCAACAGCAGAUUGGUUGUCACAAUUGAUCUCUGUCGCUUCCCUUGGUGUAGAUUCAAGUCAGCCAUGAUUUUUCUUAUCCAAAUGGCUUGAUUGAUAGCAAUAGCAGCUGCUACAUAUUCUGCUUCAGUAGUUGAUUGAGCAACAACAUUUUGCUUCUUCGAAUUCCAGCAAAAAAUGGCUUAUCCAAAAGUAAAAACAUACCUUGAUGUACUCUUCAUGUUAUCUAUCGAUCCAACCCAAUCACUAUCAGCAUAACCAACCACUUUCGUAUUUUUAGCUUUGCUAAAUAGCAUUCCAUAGCUCAAUGUACCUUUGAUGUACCUGAGAACUCUUUUGGUAGGUUGAAAGUGAUUUUCAUUGCAGCAAUGCAUGAAUCUAGAUAGCAGACUCACAAUAAACAUGAUGUCUGGUCUAGUGGCAGUAAGAUAUCGCAAACAACCUACCAAGCUCCUAUAGACAGAUUCACUAACCUGCUCAAAGUCACCUUGGCUCGAUAGUUUCUCUCUAAUGGCAACUUGUGUGUUUGAUGCCUUACAAUUUUGCAUGGAGAAUUUGUUCAGAAUCUUGGAGACAAAAGCCUUCUGACUUAGGAAGAUUCCAUGUUGUGUUUGAGUCGCUUCCAUACCAAGGAAGUAAGACAUUUGCCCCAAAUCUGACAUCUCGAACAUGUGUUCCAUCUUGGCUUUGAAAUCAGCUAGCAUUUCAUGAUCUCCUCCAGUUACUAGCAGGUUAUCAACGUAUAGGAACACUAUUAGUUGAGUUUCACUACCUUGCUUCUUCACAUACAAGGUAGGUUCACUGAUGCUUCUUUCAAAUCCAAGGCUAGCUAGGUAGCCAUCGAUCCUGCUAUACCAAACUCUUGGUGCUUGUUUCAAACAAUACAAGGCUUUCUUCAGUUUGUACACCUUGUCCUCUUCACCUGCCACUUUAAAACCUUCAGGUUGCUCAACAUAGAUUUUUUCAUCAAGAAACCCAUUGAGGAAUGCUAAUUUUACAUCAAGCUGAUGAAUUUUCCACUGCAUUUGUGCUGCUAAGGCAACUAGCAGCCUUAUGGUGUCAAGCCUAGCUACUGGUGCAAAGGUUUCAAAGUAGUCAAUGCCGUACUUUUGGCUGAACCUUUUUACAACCAGCCUUGCUUUUAGUUUGCUCAAGCUUCCUUCAGCAUUGUGCUUGGCUCGAAACACCCAUUUCACCCUAAUAACCUUUCUAUUUGCUGGUCUCUCAACUAGCAGCCAAGUCUGAUUAUUUUCAGUCAUUCUGAUUUCAUCAGCCAUUGCCUAUUUCCAGCCUUGUUGAGCUUCAACUUCUUCGAAGCAGCUUGGUUCAACUGCUGCCACUUGAGCUAUUUCAUAAAUCGCAGCUAAUGGUCUAGUGCCCCUGACUGGUUCAUUAUCAAUGUCCAUUUCAAGGCCAUUUUGAUCAGCUUUAGUCUGAUCUGUCAGUAAAUCUUCAAAGACUGCCUCUGGUUCAUUCUUCUCUCAAUUCCAACUUGAAUUCUCAUCAAAGACUACAUCUUUGCUCACAAGCACUUUGUUGCAUGAAGGAUCUAGGAUUCUGUAGCCUUUCUUCAUACUGCUAUAUCCCAUCAGGAUGCCAGGUUAGGAUGCAGUGAUUUUCUUAUGAUUGAACUCGCAUUGAGUUUCAUAGUUCACUUCUCUUUUAUUUCCAUCUUUACAGAUAAUCCACCAAGUUAGGAUGCAGACUCGGCAUACAGAGGACUCGACUCGGGUUUUAUUUAUUAAAAUAUUUUGGAUUUAUUAUUCAAAAUUUUUCGUUAUUCAGGAACUAUAAUAUCUUAUUUAAAUCAUGGCAUGAGACUUAGGUUUUUGUUUAAUUUAUCAUGUAUGACAUAUAAUAUAAUUUAAUAUAUUAUUUUUAAUUAAUUAAGCAUGAAAUAUGAUUUUAAUAAAAUUAAGUUGAAAAUCAUUUUUCCAUUGCUAAAUUAUAGUUUAGUAUUGAGUUGUAAAUAAAUCAGAAAAUUUAACUAAUUUUCAAUCUCAUGUGUUAUACUGAAAAUAAGCUAAGUUUUCCAUAUUUUAAAUUGGUCAUUUUUUAAACUUUGAUCGCUAUUGGGCUAUUUCAGUGGCCGAUAUAAUCUCUCAAAUUUAGAUCUAAUGUAUAGGCUGAGUUGAAGAGGUUACAACAAGAUGCAAGAUUAAUGUUGUUUUGUUUGAAGUAUAAAAUUAGUAAAACACAUAGCAAGGAUAACAUUGUUGGAGAUUAUGGUAUGCUAAAAUGUUGAAGUAGGGAAUUUGACAAAGGAAAGAGAUGACACCUCAACAGUUUAUGAUGCACUUCGAUAUGAGUCAUCACGAGAAAUAUCAGUGUGAAAAGGUGUGUGUAUUUCUAUGACCAAGAGCUAUGGUUUUAUUAACAUAUAUAUAUAUAUAUAAUAGACCUACAUUACAAUACAAUCGGCUAAUGUGGGUGGCAUGCCAUAAGCAAAUUGAAGAAUUGUUGAAAGAUAUUGCACUUGAAGAAGUAGCCAAGUUACCAUUUUUUCACAUUCCCUUAUUAACUGUCUCAGCAGAAAGCUUGGAGAAGACAGGAGAUAUUCAUUUAGUAGUGGCGGCAUUUAUAGCCACUGUGGCAUUCGUAGCAACCAUAACUGUUCCAAGUGAUUUCAAGGGUGAAAAAAUGUCAGAGCGGGGAACUCCUUUUCUAAUUUACGAGGCAGCCUUUAAAGCAUUUGUUAUGCAUUGGCCUUUAUUCUCUUUGUUUUUGCCCUCUCCAUCCACUUUGGAAUUUUGGAUCCUCUUUUAUCAAAAAUAAAUUAUUGAGAUAUUAAUAUAAUUUUAUAUUAAACCCAGUUCAUGUCUAAUGUCCUUGGUGACUGCUUUCCACAUAGGUGGUUAUGUGAUUUUAAAACCUUCUCAUAGACUUGCAUAUUGUUUCAUCUGCCCUGCCUUUUUUGUUCAAUUCUUCUCCUUCUUUGCCAAGUAUUUUCUUUACAGUUUCCUUAAACCCAAAUUUCACCGUAAAAAACUCCUCCUUUAUUGACCUGACCUCUAACCAGAGAUUUUCGUUUUGUUUAAAGUAAAAUUAUAAAGUUAAUAAAGCACAAAGCAAGAAUAGUACUUAGGGCAGCAUCGCCUUGACCACAAAGAGCUGUUCACCCCAUUUUCUUCCCUUCUUUUUCUUCAAUUCUUCUUCUUUGCCAAGUGUUUUCUUUACAGUUUCCUUAAACCCAAAUUUCACCAUAAAACCUCCUACUUUAUUGACCUGACCUCUAACCCUGUAUAUUACUAUUACUAAAGUGUUCAAGUAUGAAACUAUAUAUAUAUAGUUGUAGGUGACUUGAAUGGAGGAUAUGCAAGCAACAAACAAAUAGGUAUGGCAUUUGGUAAAUUUCUUAAUUUGCAGUUUUUUUUUUUCUUGAGCUUGGGAUGUUUCAAGAUAAUUAAUUAAAUUUUGUUUGGUGUUAUAUCCAGGUAGAAAUAGAUCAACAAAAAUGGGACCUCAGGAGCCUGAAGAGAACAUCAGUCACAUGGAUGCUUCGCUCUAUAAGGCAGCAGCAGAAGGCAACAUUGAAGUAUUCAAUAAUAAGCAGGGACUUCAACUUGAGUCGCUAAAGACCCCAAACCAUGACAACGUCCUCCAUGUUAACUUGGCAACCCAGGAGACUGCCGCCUGGCUUUUAAACAGAUUUCACUCAUGCGAUCCGGUUAUGAGUUUUUUCAUUACUAUGAUAAAAAGAGAAAAAAGAUCAGAUUUUAUCGAACAAAUUCUCAGCAAGUGUCCGUCACUGCUACUCCAAACGAAUGCUAAAGGUCAAACUCCUUUACACGUUGCAGCAAGGAAUGGACAUUCUGCUAUUGUGAAACUUCUAAUCAAGUUUUGCGCAAAAGCUAGAGAUGGAGAUUUAGAGAAGCUGGGAAUGGAUCAAGUAAAUGCAGUGAGGGAGAUGCUGAGGAUUACGGAUCAGGAAUCCAACAUGGCUUUACACAAAGCAGCACGUUGUGGCAAUGUUGAAGUGGCGAAAGCAUUGUUGGAGUUUGAAGACCCUGAAUUUCCGUAUUCUGCCAACAAAAAACAGGAGACUCCACUUUACAUAGCAGCUAGGAGGAGAGGAUCUGGGCGCUUGUUGACUCUAUUAUUAGAUAAAUUCAAAUCAACUGCUCAUGGCGGCCCUCACGGUAGAACAGCUUUGCAUGCAGCAGCUAUGGCUGGUGAUGCAGGUAUGUUGUUGAGUUAGUUCCAUUUUUUCUUUUUUUGAAAUAAAUAGAGAACAGGUCUAUUGAUUUUUUUUUUUUUUUGCUUGGAUUUAGAGGCAAUAAAGGUAAUAUUAAAUAAGAAGGGAAAUUUGACAAAGGAAAGAGAUGAAGAUGGACACACCCCUCUCCAUUAUGCUGCACACCUUGGUAAUAGAUUGUCAGUUGUGAAAGAACUGUUAAAAAGGGAUGUAACAGCUGCCUAUAUAGGUGAUAAAAUGAGGGGGAUGGCACCCCUUCUUAUGGCAGCGAGGCAAGGUCAUCUUUUAACAGUUUCAAAGAUUCUCUCUUUAUGUCCAGAUUGUUGUGAAAAAGUGGACAACAAAAGUUUGAAUGUACUUCAUUAUCUGGCUUUUAGAGGCUCUCUGUUGGAACAAUGGCAGUAGCAAAGAAAGCAAAAACGAAUGAAAGAAAACAAAAGAAAAAGAACUCAGCAAGAAAAUUUGUAACUGAAAAGUCAUCAUAGUUUCAUUCAAAUUUUGAAUAUAUGAAGAUUACAAAAGUAUUUGACAGUUACCUACUAAUUUAACUGCUCUUACUUAAUACUUACUAAAAAUAUAGCAACUUGUAUACAAAAGAAAGCUGGCAUACCAGCUAUUACAUCAGUCAAUCUUUCCUACUAACUUAGCUAACUCAUUACAAAGAUUUAGGCUAAGUUCCAUAGGAACAAAUAUUCAAAAAAUAAUUUUAUAACUGAACCAACUCCAUUUCUUUGCUACAAAACAGUAUAGUAGCUAAAAUUGUACAAUUUGCCGCUGUUGGUCUUUUGACCAAUUUGUUGCUGUUGGUUCUUUGUUGCAAUGCAGGCCACGGCUUCAACACUCCUCCUUGGUCUGUAUGCAACAAACACCAAUCCUUUCCUUCAAAGCAUUAAAUCGGUUGGCUCCCAAUGGUUUAGUUAAAAUGUCAGCUAGCUGAAUUUCUGAGCUGCAAUGAACUAAGCUAACCUCCCUAGAUUGCUCAGCUUCUCUAACAAAAUGGAAUUUAAUUUUGAAGUGUUUAGUCUUACCAUGGAAGACUGGAUUCUUGGCUAUGGCCACAGUUGAUUGAUUAUCCACUCUAAUCUCAGUAGGCUGAACUUGACUUUCAUUCAAAUCAUCCAAAAUCUUCCUAAGCCAAAUGGCUUGGUUCACAGCUGCUGCAGCUGAGAUAUACUCAGCCUCUGCUGUAGAUUGUGCAACAGUUUGUUGCUUCUUGGAACUCCAGCUGAAAACACUCGAGCCUAAGGUGAAAAAAUAACCUGAAGUGCUCCUCAUGUCAUCAACUGACCCUGCCCAAUCGCUAUCAGAAUAGCCUACGAGUUUCAGCUCCUUUGCCCUCCAAAACUUCACACCAGUAUCGAUGGUUCCUUUGACAUACCUUAACACUCUUUUUGCUGCCUUCAGAUGUGCCACAUUACUGCAGUGCAUAAACCUUGAAAGUAGACUAACAGCAUAGACAAUGUCUGGUCUAGUUGCUGUUAAAUAAAGCAAACAACCAAUUAAGCUUCUAUAUGCCUUCUCAUCUACUCGAUCAUGUUCACUGGCACUUGACAAUUUUUCUCCCAAUGCAACUGGUGUAGUGACUGAUUUGCAUUUCAACAUGAAAAAUUUUUCAAGCACCUUGGAAGUAAAUGUUUACUGACUUAUGAAAAUGCCAUCACUUCCUUGUUUUAUCUCCAUGCCAAGAAAGUAGGUCAUCAGACCAAGGUCAGUCAUCUCAAAGACAUGUUGCAUCUGUUUCUUGAAGUCUUCAAUAAGUUCAUCUUUGCAGCCAAUAACCAACAGAUCAUCAACAUACAAGGAAACAAUUAACAAGGUUUCCUCCUGAUCCUUCUUAACAUAGAGUGUAGGCUCACUGAUACUCUUUGUGAACCCGAGCAUUGCUAAGUAGCCAUCAAUCCUCUCAUACCAGGCCCUUGGAGCCUGUUUUAGACCAUACAAAGCCUUUUUCAGCUUGUAGACCUUCUGUUCUUCACCAGUGACCUUAAAACCCUCAGGUUGCUCAAUGAAUAUUUCUUCAUUAAGAAAUCCAUUUAGAAAGGCUGACUUAACAUCCAGAUGAUGCACCUUCCAAUGCUUUUGAGCUGCCAAAGCUAGCAGCAAUCUGAUAGUAUCCAACCUUGCAACAGGUGCAAAGGUUUCAGAAAAAUCAACCCCUUGCUGCUGACUAUAACCUUUAACAACCAGUCUGGCCUUAUGUCUAUUAAGAGAGCCAUCUGCAUUGUUCUUAAUUCUAUAGACCCACUUUACACCUAUAAUUUUUCUGUUUUCAGGUCUGUUUACAAGCUCCCAUGUAUCAUUUUUCUGAAUCAUUUUAAAUUCAGCUUCCAUAGCAUCCUGCCAGCAUUUUUCUUUUGCAGCUUCUUCAAAACAUGAAGGCUCUACUAUAGUUACUGUACAUCUCUCAUAGAUGUCAGUUAAUGUCCUGGUGCCUCGAACAGGUUGAUCAUCAUAGCCAUUUUCAAUUACUUCUUCAUUUUCAGCUUGCUGCAGAUCAACAUCAAUCUCUUCUCCAUCUGGAAAAUUUGCUUCAAUUCCAUCCCAUUUCCAGCUACUUGCUUCACUGAAUUUCACAUCUCUGCUCACUACAACCUUCUUGGUCAGUGGAUCAAAGACUCUGUAUCCUUUCUUCACAUUGCUGUAGCCAACAAACACCCCAGGCAUGGACCUCCUGUCCAACUUGGUUCUUCUCUCCUCAGGUACCAACACAUAACAUAGACAGCCAAAUACCUUCAAAUGAGAGACAGAUGGUUUCUGUGCAAACCAGGCUUCAAAGGGAGUUUUUCCUUUGACUGCAUUAGUUGGCAACCUAUUCAACAGGUAAAUAGCUGUAUUCACAGCUUCAGCCCAAAAAACAUUAGGCAUUUUAGCCUCAAAUAACAAACACCUAGCCAUAUCAAGGACUGUUCUGUUUUUCCUUUCACAAACACCAUUUUGCUGUGGUGUGUACACAGUAGUCAAUUGGUGUUGAAUUCCAGCAUCAUCACACAAUUUUUGAAACUUCUGAGAUACAUACUCAGAACCAUUGUCAGACCUCAAACAUUUUAAUUUGCAAUUUGCUUGGUUUUCGACCAAGGCUUUAAAUUUGCAGAAAGAGUCAUAAACAUCUGACUUAUGCUUCAAAAAAUUUACCCAACAGAACCUUGAAUAAUCAUCAAUGAAGAGUACAAAGUACCUGCUGCCAUUUAAGGAGGUAGUCUUCAUUGGUCCACAGAUGUCUGUAUGAAUAAGCUGAAGCUUCCCUUGUGCUCUCCAUGCCUUGUUGACUGGAAAGGGUAAUCUGGUCUGUUUGCCUAGCUAACAGACCUCACAUACAGCAUCCUUUGGCUCAAUUUUGGACAUAUCACUGACCAAAUCCAUUUUGUGCAGCAUGCUCAGUGAAUUGUAGUUCACAUGCCCCAUCCUCCUGUGCCACAAGUCUGUCUCAUCAGACUGAGAUGCGUAUGCCUUGGCUUGCAGUUGAUUCACAUCCACAAUGAAGGUUCUGUCUUGCAUAGCCACUGUAGUCAACACUUCACCAGCAGCAUUUUUGAUCAAACAGUUUUUGCCUUCAAAAAUCAGAGAGUAACCCUUCUCCAAUAGCUGGCCAACACUUAGCAAGUUUUGGUCAAUGUCAGGUACAUAGAGAACCUCUGAAAUGGUUUUAAUACCUGACUUAGUGCUUAUCAAAGCCUUGCCUUUCCCUUUUGCCUCUAGCAGCUCACCAUUGCCAAUUUUGACUUUGGACUUGAAGGUGGUGUCAAGCUCCUUAAAUAUACUCUUCUUAGAAGCCAUAUGGUGGGUACAUCCACUGUCAAUCAACCAUAUUUUACUAACUUUGCUCGAGCUUGCAAAGCAUGAUGCUGAAAAGACAUGCUCUUCUGGUGAUUCAACCUCUUUUGCAGCUUGAGCUUGGCUUUGAAAUUGUGGUUGUGGUUUUGGCUUGCUCUUACAGACCUUUUCAAUGUGGCCAAAUUGCUUGCAGGCUCUACAUUGAAUGUCUGGUCUGUACCAGCAGUAUUUCUCAAGAUGAGUAGUCUUCUUGCAAUGGACACAAGGUGGGAACUUCCUUUUGACAGGUUCUUUCUUCUUCUUCUCAGUCCAGGGCUUCUUGCCUUUGGCAUUUAAGUUUGCACUUGAGCUUUCUCUGCUUCUAGCCUGAAAAGCUCCUUCAUAGUGGUCCUCCUGCCUAUUUGCCAUUCUCUGCUCUUGAGCAUAGAGAGCAUUUAUAAGCUCUGUCAAAGGGAUUGUUGACAAGUCCCUUGAAUCUUCCAGAGAAGAAAUUUUUGCUUCAUACUUCUCUGGCAAGGUUGUUAUGACCUUCUCAACCACUCUUUGGUCACUGAAUUCUUCCCCAAGCAGCCUUAUGUUGUUGACAGUAGCCAUGAUUCUGUCAGCAUACUGCUUGAUGGUUUCUGAGUCCUUCAUUUUGAGAUUUUCAAAAUCUCUUCUCAUGUUGAUCAGCUGCUGUUGCCUGGUCUUGUCAGACCCCUGAAACUCCUCCUUGAGUUUGUCCCAGGCCUGCUUUGGAGUGUCACAAGCCAUUAUUCUUGUGAAAAUAACAUCAGAAACUCCACUUUGAAGGCACGACAUAGCCUUAUACUUCUUGGCACAGUCUUCAUUGUGCUGCCUAAUCUGGGCUAUAGUCGGGUUGGCUCUUAGUGGUGGUGGCUCAGUGUCAUUGAGAACAACAUUCCACAGGUCGUGUGCCUGCAGGUAUGUUCUCAUUUUCACUGCCCAGAUGUUGUAAUUUUCUCCAGCAAAGACAGGUGGAGGAGGUGGUGUAAAACUCAUUUUUCAGCAAGCAAAACAACCUCUUCUUCUUUUGUUUCAAACACAAUUUGCUUAGUGACAGUGUACAACCAAGGCCCUCAAAGACUGAAAGCUCUUGAUACCAUUUGUUGGAACAAUGGCAGUAGCAAAGAAAGCAAAAACGAAUGAAACAAAACAAAAGAAAAAGAACUCAGCAAGAAAAUUUGUAACUGAAAAGUCAUCAUAGUUUCAUUCAAAUUUUGAAUAUAUGAAGAUUACAAAAGUAUUUGACAGUUACCUACUAAUUUAACUGCUCUUACUUAAUACUUACUAAAAAUAUAGCAACUUGUAUACCAAAGAAAGCUGGCAUACCAGCUAUUACAUCAGUCAAUCUUUCCUACUAACUUAGCUAACUCAUUACAAAGAUUUAGGCUAAGUUCCAUAGGAACAAAUAUUCAAAAAAUAAUUUUAUAACUGAACCAACUCCAUUUCUUUGCUACAAAACAGUAUAGCAGCUAAAAUUGUACAAUUUUCUGCUGUUGGUCUUUUGACCAAUUUGUUGCUGUUGGUUCUUUGUUGCAAUGCAGGCCACGGCUUCAACACUCUCCCUCUCCAUUUGGGAAUUCUGUUUUCAAGAGUGGUCAUAUUGAGAUUGUAUAUGGAUCAGUCAAAACUCUAAUGGAGUUGGAAGGUGCCUUUGGAAUGACACCUCAAGAUGUUGAUAAUGCAGUUCGAUCUCAUAAACAUCAUCAUAAACAGGUAGUUGUGUGUACAUAUUACAUUUCUAUAGCUAUGUUUUUAUUAAUAUUUAAAAUUUUGAAUUAACAUAUUUAAUAAACCUACAAUACAAUGGGCUAACGUGGCGGCAUGGCAGAAGCAAAUCAAAGAAUUGUUGGAAGAAAUUGAGAAUGAUCAAGUGGCGGAGGAACCAGUUCAUCACUUUACCGUACGAAAUAAUUCUAUAGAAAGUUUGGAGAAGACAGGAAAUGCUCAUUUAGUAGCUGCAGCACUUAUAGCCACCGUCGCAUUUGCAGCAGCAAUAACUGUUCCUGGUGGUUUGGAGAGUGAAAAAGGGUCAAAUCGAGGCACUCCCAUUUUGAUUCAAGAGGCAGCCUUUAAAGCAUUUGUUGUAACAAAUGCAAUGGCCUUUAUUUUCUCUGUUUCUGCCCUCACCACCUACUUUGCGGUUCUGGAUCAUCUUUUUACACGAUUUAUUUUUUGGCGUGAAGCAAUAAUUUUAAAUCGAACUUGGUCUGUUUCUAUGCUCCUUAACUAUGCAACGCUUGCAAUGGUAAUUGCUUUCAGCACGGGUAGUUAUGUGGUCUUAAAACCUUCCCACGAACUUGCCAUUGUUUCAUAUCUCAUAUGCCCUGCCUUUUUACUUUGUAAGUGGACAGCUUUGUUUGUAAUUUUGAGUCAUUCAAUACAUAUUUAAAAUAUAAAUAUGAUAAUAUUACUUUAUGGAUUAUUACAAUGUUGUUUCGAUUAUUAUAAAUUCAAAAAUAUUUUAUUUCCUUUUAAUAGUUUUUCAAAUAUUAAAUAUAUAACGCAAAAUAUAUAUAUAUAUUUUGUUUCUCAUGAAAAAUAGAUAUCAAUCAUGCUUUUCAAGUUUUCAUUAUUGAAAACAAAAUUUUAUUUCUAGUUAUCAAACUUGAUUUUAAAUUUUCAAAAAAUAGAAAAUAAAAAUAUUUUCAGAAACCUAACAAAGCUUAACUUUUUUUUUUGUUAAUAUACCAUUUGGUAUUUGAGUUAGUUUUAUUGUUCAAUUUGAUAAUUAAUUUCGGCUUCAAUAUUUAAUUUGAUAUCUAAACCAAAUGGUUUCAUAAGGCCUAAUAAAUAUUUGACAGGUCUACUCUAAAAAAUAGACGUGGGUAUUCUAAUUGAGACAAAAAAAAAAAAAAGAAGAAGCUCAAGUAUUAAAUUGAACUUUUUUAAAGUUAAACUCGGAUACUUAACUAUGACAAAAAGAAACUCAAGUAUCAAAGUAAAAAAAUUAAGUACAAAAUUGAACAUUCAAACCAAAUUCAUAUACAAAAUUAUAAAAAAUAAUCUUUUAAUACUAAAUUAAAAUUUGAAGUGAAAUUCAAGUAUCAAAUAAUAUAUUAACUCUUCUUUUUCUCUUAGAUCCUCACCUUGAAAAAAGCUAAUUAAGGUUAUUUGUUUUACAUUUACAACUUAAAAUUUUCAUAUAAAUAGAUUCUGUAUUUAUAAAAAUUUAUUUUUAUUAAAGAUUAAAUAAGAUUUAAAUGGUGUGUUGUUCUAAAGUUCACAAAUUUUUAUUUAAAAUAAUUACAUAAAAGUAAUAAAAAUUCAAAAUUUCACACCAACAAUAUAAAGUUAAAAAAUCACACAUAAAAAAUAGCAUUGCUAAAGAUUCUGCUUUACUAAAUUGUUUAAGUAAGGAAUUAUACAUGCCAUGGUGCUUUCUUUGUACCAAUGAUCUCUUUGGAUGGGUGAUGUGUUUAUUUACGAUUAGUAUAAAAAUAACAAUGUAAUACCUCAAAUUCGGUCUAGACGUUAUGACCGAAUAGGACUACAAGAGUUCAUCCAUCCAAUCACACCAAUAUGUGGCGGUGUGCCACUCAUAAAUAUGUAGCUGAGCUUCCAUAUAGAAAUUUGCUCUAGUCGCCAUAUAUUUGCGGUAAAAACUGUCAUAUAACACUUCCUCUAUUUUAUCAUAACCCAACUCAAUGCAAAUGUAAAAUCACGUUAACAUUCAUACAUAUAAUAUAGAUCGUAUGGCAUGCAUGCAUAAAUAGAUAUUAUACAAAGCAUAACACAACACAUAACUUAUACAGAUCAUAACAGAUUGAGAUUAUGCUGCACACAGAGGUUGCAAUUUUGUCGUGGAAGAACUGUUAAAAAGGGAUGUAUCAGCUGCCUAUGUAAGUGACAAAAAGAGGGGGAUGACACCCCUUCUUAUGGCAGCCAAGCAAGGUUAUCUUUUAACAGUUUCAAAGAUUCUCUCUUUUAUGUCCAGAUUGUUGUGAAAAAGUCGACAACAAAGGUUUGAAUUUACUUCAUUAUCAGGCUUUUAGAGUGUCAUCUUUUCAAGCUUGGUGGUAUUGGGAUUGCAUAUGGAUCGGUCAGAAAUUUAAUGGAGUUGGAAGGUGCCUUUGGAAUGACACCUCAAGAAGUUUAUAAUGCACUUCAAUAUGAGAAACAUCAUCAUAAACAGGUUUAUAAUCAAUGAUUUUUUUAUAUCUCAUCCGCACUUCAUUUUGGUGGCCUCCUCCACAUGGAUGGUUAAAGUUUAAUGUGUGUGGGAUUGCUAAAGAAGAUAGAGCAGGUUGUCGAGGUGUCUUGAGAGAUAAGGAGGGUGUCGCAAGAGCAUUAUUUUCUGGUUCAGUUGCAGCAAAUGAUGCCGAUGUGGCUGAGAUUGGUGCGGUGAAGAUUGCUCUGUAAGUAUUUUUUAGCUAUGAACUGGAAGAUUAAUGAUUCUUUAUUUAUUGAACUUGGUUCAUUGGUGGUGUUUUCUUGGUGUGCUAACAAGGUAAUGAGACCAUGGUCUCUUCAAGCAAUUUUUGCAGGUAUUGAAAAUGACAUGUUAAAGGCCGGAAAUGUUGUAUUCUCAUUGGCGGAUAAGAAAGGUAACGAGAUGGCAUCUUCCUUGGCAAUUGCAGGUUUUAAUCGGGUGAAAAUGUUUAAAGCUUGGUGAUGAAUUUUUGUUUUGUUGCAUUCAUAGGUUUAUUAGAGUUGGAAUGCGUUUUACUUUUGAUUGCUGUAAUACUGAAAUUUUUGUUGUUGUUCUGUUCGUCUUUGACAACAGUACAGCUCGAAUGGAGCCAAAAAAAAAAAAAAAAAGGGAAUGUUACAUCUUUGUAUAAGCAUUACUUUAAUUUUCAGUUAUAAUUAAAAAUUAGUUUGACAAAUCAUUGAAAAAUAUGAGAAUUUUAAGUUUAAGAAAAACACAAAGUUUUAUUUAAAAGUGGGAAGUCGUCCUCAACUUUUCUAGUUAGCUGCGAUUAGACACAUUUAAAAUCAAAAUUCUUUUUUAAAAAGAUAAAAUUGAGUUUACAAUAUAAAUCCAAACAAAAAUGUUUAGGUUAAUUAGAGAAUUUGUUAUACGAAAGGAAGAUUUUAGCAUCCUCAUGACGCCAAAAAUUAAUUCCUUGUUAAAUAUGUGUUGUCUACAUUCGUAAAUUAAAACUCAUAUCUUGGUUUUUGAUUAUGAUCCAAUUUUUUGAUAAAUUAAAAAUAAAUAUUAAAUGAGUGAAUCAAUUUUUUAAUAGCAAAACAAAGAUAAUGAUCAAGAUGUAGCAUUUUCAAAAUUCAGGGGCCCUUUUUGAGAUUUUCCAUUUAUUUUUCAUCAUGUUUAAAAGAGAAAAGUUAUAAAUUUUGAAGUCAGUAGCCCAAUAUUUAUUAAGCCCAAAUCAAAUAUUAGCUCAAAGUUCAGAAGCAUUCGAAUUUUAAAAUUGUGAAAUUACAUUUAAUAGAAAGCAAUAACAUUUCAAAAGCUAAUAAAUAUUAACAAAAAUCGGAUCCGAUAUCAACAACAUAAAAUUUGAUAUUAUCAUGUAAGCCGCUAUUUUUAAAUAUUUAAUGUUUUAGUCAAUAUUUUUGUUAAAAAAAUCAAUUUGAUUGCUUUUGAAAGGUUUAUGGCUAAAUUCGAGUCUUUUUUUAAAAGAUUGAUGACCAAAUUUAGCUCAAGAAAAGAAUAAGGGCCAAAUUGAUAAAAAAAAUUUACAUAAAUACUACGAGCUAAUUUUAUCAUUAUGCCUAAUGAAAAUUAAGUUGUAUACUUUUAUGAUAGUAAAAAAAAAUGUAAUUUCAUAAUUUUAAUAGCUUAAAUCUUUAUAAUAUUUAAAAGAUUAAAUCAAAUAUUUAUAAUUUUUAGAAGGUCAAAAUAUAAUUUUAUCAUUAUUAAUUUAAAAUUUUGUAAAUUAUAGAUAGGUUAAAAAGAGAGACCUAUUGUCCCCUUGGCUCCACCCCUAAACCCAUACGUUUUCAUCCAACUUUGAAAGUCCUUUCAAGCUUUCCAAUCUAUUAUAUUUGAUGUCUCAACGAUCCUAACUCUCGACCAAAUAAUCUUUUUCACUAUUUUUAAACUAAUAUACUUAGGAUUGAGGUAGAAUAAGGACAUGGUGAACUCCAAAAGUAAAUUAAUUUUUAAAGGGAUUUAAGACUAAUUCAUUUUGUGUCAAGUCUACAGUAUUAUUAGUUCAUAUUAACACAUCUCUGUCUUCACUUGAAAGUUAAUCUUACUCCGGCACAAUCAAGACAAAUUAUGUCUCAUUAUUAGAUUUUAGACAACGUAUAAAUCUCUUUCUCUUCGUAAUUCUAUAGAUUACAAGUCAUGUAUUUAAAUUAUCGACUAAUGGAAAUUGUCUUUUGCAUACAAAACUAAAUUUGUGAUGCAACUCCGAAUUAAUUUAACAUAGGAAAAGAAGGGAGUGCGGCUUCCAUGCAGCAACGACCAAAGCCAAAGAGAAGGCGUGCUGCCUAAUUUCUUGCCCUUCUCAUCCACACAAUUUCUUGACUUUUCUUGUGUUUCUCAUCCACACAAUUAAUUUAUAUUUUAGUAACACAUUUUGAUUUUGUUUCCCUUGUAAAUAUUUAAAAAUAUAUAAAUCUAAGUAUUUACAUGUUUGAUAAAUAAAUUGUUUGUAUAAAAAAAGUGAAUUUUAAAUUAUGUCAUAAUAGUUACAAUAUUAAUGGUUUGCGAAAUUUAAUUAAAAUUAAAAUUCGUUUUUAUAAUUAAACAAAUUAAAAUUUAUGUUUCAUAUUGCAAAUUAAAUUAAAGUUAAUACAUGAUUUUGAUUUUUAUUUCUUUGCAUUUUCGUGAAAAAAGUAUUGACUUCACCAAAAAGAGCUGGAGAGCUCAUUUUCUUCCAUUCUUCUCCUUCUUUGCAGUUUCCUUAAACCCGAAUUUCACCAUAAAAAACUCCUAAAAAUGAUGGAUUAGGUGCAUCUACUUUUCAACAAUUGUUAGUAUUUUAACCAUCUUUAUUAACUUUGUUUUAGGGCCAUUUGCUUUCCUUUUCGUUUCAAUUAAGUCAUCAUAUGAUAAUAAUAUUUAAUGUAAGUUAUACAAAUAGCCAUUUAAUUAUUAGCACAUUAUUAUUUUGGUCACUCGUGUUUAAAAAAGUUUAAUUUAGUCACUAAUAUUAUGGACAAUUGAUAUUUUUGUCAUUCCUCGUUCAAUUAUUAAUAGAAUCUUGAUGCAACUUUUUUAUUGGCAUAUUAAUAAAUUUAGCUUUUCAAUCUCUAUAAAUUUUAUUAAUUUGAUCUUAAUUCUAAAAAAUAAAUUUAACCCUUAACUUUACACAUUAUGUUAAUUUAAUCUUGAUUCUUAAAAUUUUAAAAAAUAAAAAUAUAUAUUUAAAAGUUUUUUUUUUAUAAAAUACAUAUACAAAUUUAUAAAAUGCAUACAAAAAUAUAAAAAUAUUUAUAAAUAAAUGAAUACUAAUUUUUUUCUUCAAAGAAAUCCUUCAAAGAAAAUCUAGGGUUUAGUCUGAAUGAGUCAAUAUUAACUAACAUGACCAAAAUUUAGUCUGUAACAGUUUUCUGAGCUACCAAACACCGUCUUAGAAUAAAAAAGAGCAUAGGGCAGCAUUAACUUGACCACGAAGAGCUCUAGACCCCAUUUUCUUCCAUUAUUUUCUUUAAUUCUUCUCCUUCUUUGCAGUUUCCUUAAAACCAAAUUUCACCAUAAAAAACCUCCUACUUUAUUGACCUCACUUCUAACCCAAUAUAUCACUAUUAUUAUUACUAAAGUGUUCAACCAUAUAUGGUUGCCAGUAGUUGACUUGAAUGCAGGAUUUGCAAGCAAGUAACUAACUGGUAUGGCAUUCGGUAAAUUUCUGAUUUUGCAGUACUUUUUUCUUGAGCUUCGAAUGUUUCAAGCUAAUUAAUUCAAUUUUGUUUGGUGUUAUCCAGGAAGAAAUAGAUCAACAAAAAUGGGACCUGAAGAGCCUGAACAGAACAUCACUCACAUGGAUGCUUCGCUGUAUAAGGCAGCAGUAGAAGGCAACAUUGAAGAAUUCAAUAAUAAGCAGGGGCCUCAGCUUGAGUCGCUAAAGACCCCAAACCAUGACAACGUGCUCCAUCUUAACUUGGCAACCCAGGAGAAUGCUACCUUGCUUUUUAACAUAUUUCUCUCAAUAAUCAAAUUCUUCCCCGUACUAUAUGGAUGCUUCUCUCCGCCUAUGCGUGAUUUAAUUACUAUUAUAAGAGGAGAAAAAAGAUCAGAUUUUAUCGAACAAAUUCUCAGCAAGUGUCCGUCAAUGCUACUCCAAACGAAUGCUAAAGGCCAAACUCCUUUGCACGUUGCAGCAAGGUAUGGUCAUUCUGCUAUUGUGAAACUUCUAAUCAAGUCUUGUGCAAAAGCUAGAGAUGGAGAUUUAGAGAAGCUGGGAAUGGAUGAAGUAAAUGCAGUGAGGGGGAUGCUGAGGAUUAGGGAUCAGGAAUCCAACACGGCUUUACAUGAAGCAGCACGAUGUGGCAAUGUUGAAGUGGUAAAAGCAUUGUCGGAGUUUGAAGAACCUGAUUUUCCGUAUUCUGCCAAUAAAAAACAGGAGACUCCACUUUACAUAGCUGCUAGGAGAGGAGACGGAGGCAUGCUGAGUAUACUAUUAGAUAAAUCAAAAUCAACAGCUCAUGGCGGCCCCCACGGUAGAACAGCUUUGCAUGCAGCAGCUAUGGCUGGAGAUGCAGGUAUGUUGUUGAGUUGGUUCCAAUUUUUUUAAAAAAAAAUUUGAAAUAAAUAAAGAACAGGUCUAUUGGCAUUUUUUUUUGCUUGGAUUUAGAGGCAAUAAGGAUAAUAUUAGAGAAGAAGGGGAAUUUGACAAAAGAAAGAGAUGAAGAUGGACACACCCCUCUUCAUUAUGCUGCACACUUGGGUUCUAGAUUAUCAGUUGUGGAAGAACUGUUAAAAAGGGAUGUUUCAGCUGCCUACAUAGGUGAUAAAAAGAGGGGGAUGACACCCCUUGUUAUGGCAGCCAGGCAAGGUUAUGGUGGAACAUGUUCAAAGAUUCUCUCUUUAUGUCCAGAUUGUUGUGAAAAAGUGGACAAAAUAGGUUUGAAUUUACUUCAUUAUAUGGCUUUUAGAGACUCUGUCUUCCCACUAGGGAGUUCUAUUUUCAAGCGUGGUGGUGCUGAGAUUGUAUAUGGAUCAGUUAGAAAUCUAAUGGAGUUGGAAGGUGCCUUUGGAAUCACACCUCAGGAAGCUCAUAAUACACUUCGAUCUAAGAAACAACAUCAAAAACAGGUGUGUGUAUAUAUAUUGCAUUUCCAUGGCUAUGGUUUUAUUAAUAUUUAAGUUUUGAAUUAACAUAUUCAAUAAACCUACAAUACAACCGGUUAAUGUGGGUGGCAUGACAGAAGCAAAUCAAAGAAUUGUUGGAAGAAUUGGAGAACGAUCAAGUGGCAGAGGAACCCGUUCGUCACUUUCGCUUACCAAAUGUUUCUACAGAAAGAUUGGAGGCUAUAAGAAAUACUCAUUUAAUAGUGGCAGCACUUAUAGCCACCGUCACCUUCGCAGCGGCAAUAACUGUUCCUGGUGGUUUGGAGAGUGAAAAAGGGUCAAAGCAAGGCACUCCCUUUUUGAUUCAUGAGGCAGCCUUUAAAGUAUUUGUUGUAACAAACGCAUUGGCCUUUAUUUUCUCUGUUUCUGCCCUCUUCAUCUACUUUGGGGUUCUGGAUAUUCUAUUAUCAAGAUUUAAAUUUUGGCGUCAAACAGUUUUAUAUCGAACUCGGUCUGUUUCUGGGCUUCUUGGCUAUGCAACGCUCGCGAUGAUGAUUGCUUUCAGCACAGGCAGUUAUGUGGUCUUAAAACCUUCCCACGGACUUGCCAUUGUUUCAUAUCUCAUAUGCCCUGCCUUCUUUUUCGUUCUGCAUUUGACUAUUUUUGAUUACUAUAUUACUAAGAUAUUAUUUCAUCGUUGAUUACAAUAUUUUUCCAAUUCCUAAUGUCAAUGUUACCUCUUUGAAGAAAUAUUACUUUAAUAUUAAUAAUCUCCAUUUAAUUGUAAUUAAUAUAAAAUUAUUAGUUGCUAGACAUACAAUUUCAAAUAAAGUAAAAUUUAUUAAAUAUCAAAGAAUAAUAAAGAUGAUGUAAUUAACUCUCGGUUAUAAUUAAAAAUUAGUUGCAUUAUAAUAUGCAUGCCCUGUAAUUUUGAUAAUUUUGAUUCUUUUUCUAAUAAUUUAGUAAUUUAAUGAUGUUUAACAACUUUGUUUUCGCACGUUAUAUAAUUUUAUUUAAUAUUUUAUAAUUAAAUUAAAAUUUUAUGUAUUCAAAAUAACCUAAACUUACCUAACCUUUGAAUUAGAUUCAAUCUUAUAAUAUUUGUAAUUAAUAUAAAGUAGUAAACUAUUCUUAGUCAUGAAUUAAUUUCUUCCUCCAAUACUUGCAUGCAAAACCAAAGACAAUGAGAUUAAAAAAAAAAAAAAAUUUAAAGUUUUUGCGAUUUGGACUUUCAAUAUUGUAACUUUAGCAUUUCGACCAUAACUUAAACUACAAAUCUCUAUUUUGAGCCCAUAAUAUAGCAUCUAAUUAAAAUUAUUUCACAAAUCAAGCACCAAAACCUCAUGAACGCAUCUAAAAAUAGCCUGGAAGUUUGACACGAAAGUUGCUAAGAAAUCUUGAAAAAAUCUGCUUUAUAUAAAUAGAUAAUUUUUUGUAUUUUCUCUAUUAUAUUAUCUUUGCCUUAUAAACAUACAUUAUUAGGUUAAAACUUGAGGAGAGACCUAGACAUAGUCACCUUAGCUUUAUUUUGUUUUUGCGUUUUAUUUUCUUUAUGAGUUUUUAAAUUUUUUUUCUAGUUUAAGGUCAAUCAAAGUUUGAUUCAAUAAAUUUAUGAGACAUGAUUUGCACUUUAAUUCUUUUUUGUUCUUUGAUAUUCAUGCAUCUUCUGUUAUAAUUACAAUUGCUCAAGUUUAUUACUAUUGAGUCAUCAACUAGAACUAAUUUAUUAAACACAUUGAAGAUAUCAUUAUAUCGAUGAUCGAACUUACAAAAUCAAUUGUAGAUUUUACCUUUGGGUAAAACCUUUCAACAUUGAAUUUCCUAAAAUUUUUAAUUAUUACUUUCUUUGAUUCAGCUUUUAAUUUAAAUUUAGUUUUUUUAUUUUAUAAAACCCUUUUUUUUAUUUACCUUAGUGGUUCUUACUUAAGGAAUAUAAUUAUCACUAAUAUCUAUAUAUGUGGAUAUAAUUUUGCUUCUUGUUUUCUAUUAAUUUAUAUGUUCAAAUUGAUUUUAUUUUUAUAGGUCUCGAUAGUCUAACAACUCUCUUGGAUCUUCUUGUUGAGCAUUUUUGAACUUCUUAAACCUUUGGCUUCAUUUUGACCUGUAUUUAAAAACUUUGUUUAAGUUUCAAGAUAAAAAGGUUAUCUACCAUUGCAACUCUUCUAUAGUAGUGUUAUGAUUAGUGGACAUUACUUCUGUCACUUGUAAGGAAACACUCUUUUUUCCUCUACUUCAAUUUUCUUUUUAUUUAAUCUAGAUUGAUCUCAUAGGUUUGUAGAAAUCCAAUUGAUUCAUCAAUUCACAUAUUAUCAAUAUCUUUGGCUUCUCCAAUGAUUGUGACUUUGAUGUUGAAUUUCUUUAGAAAAGAUCAAAUCACACAAUUUGGCAUAGAACUUGUCAAUUGUUUCAUUAUCCUCCAUUUUUAGAGUUUUAAACCUUGUUAUGAGCAUUUGUAAUUUAGAUUGCUUCACAAUCUCUAUAACACCCCUAAACCUCGCCUGAACGUUAUGGCUGAAUCUAGAAUGUUACGAAGAAGGGUUUUGAAACCGAUCUUUACAUGAUAAAAAAAAACCUCGUAUGGUAUCUUACUAGAAAAGAGUCCUUAUUGUAUAAAACAUAUCCAUUUAACAUUGUCUUUACUAAAACCGUUGAUAGUUUGUUCUUUAAGAAAAACUUAAUUCGCGACAGAAAUCUUAAGUGUCAUUAUAUGUCGAAAACCAAGUUUGUGUUUUCCAAAACGUUUGUUUGCAUAAAACCAUUAUUUACGAAAAAUUGUUUGUUGUGCGUUGCAGAAAACAUAAUCAAACCAAAAACAACAACAAAAACCAAAAGAAAUCAAAAAGUCCGGAGAGUCCCAAAAUUACAAAACUCUCAAGAAAAACCAUAAAUUAAAAUAAAACCAAUAAUUAAAGGAUAGUUUCCAUACUAGUGGUCAUCGCUGAGCUUCCGUUGCACCGACCUGCCUAUGUCUGAAGAUUACCUGAAUAGAGUAGACAAACAAAUGUGAGUUUUCAAAAACUCAAUGUGUAACUUAACAGAGACAUGCAUACACAUAAACUCAGAUUUCUCAUGUAGCAAAUCAGAUACGGGCAUAAGUCAUUAACAGAAUCAUAUAAUAUCAUAAUCGGAUUAUUAGAAACAUACAGAUAUCCAAAGUCCUACCCCCAUCCUCUACACACUAUCUCUGACCAUCCCAACACACCAUAUGGGGUAUAAAACACCCACUCAUCCCUACACACCACAUAGUGUCUUUACAACACUUAUCAAGAAUAGUAUGCAGUCAAGCUGCCAGUAUAUCGGCGAAAUGUCACCUCACAGAACACUUCCUCCACAUAUACAAAUCCCACCCCAUACAUAGAUACAGAUAACAGAUAACAAAUAUAACAGAACUAACAUGUCCCGCAUGCUCAUAUACAAAUAUCAUACAUGUUAUUAUGAAAUAGUCAAAUCAUACAUAUCAACUUCUAAAUACUCAAAUUAGUCUAUCAAAGUAGCAGAUAUCAUACAUUAGGGUUUGUUAUUAUGUAAUGUAUUGAAAUAAUCAUAAUCUAAACUUAAAAUAAUAAAAUAAAUUUAAAUAGCAUCGGAUGCUUAAACUAAAAUCAGAAAGAAAUAUAAAAUUAAACAAAACAUUGACUUUGUUAUACAAUAGUUUAAGUAUCAUUAAAUAAUAUUUAUAAAUAUAAAAAAGUCAAAGUCUUUUUAAAAUACUAAUUAUUUAAUUAGUUAAUGAGUGUUGCAUUUGAUCUCAUGUUAUAUAUAUUAUAAUAUGCAUGUGCUACUUGCCUGGAAAGGUUAAAAUUAGUUGUAUAAUUAAUUAAUAAAUAUUUGAAACAUUAUUUUUCUUGAAAGAUGGACUGAUUUUUAAUAGCUUCAUUAAUUAAUUAAAAUCUAAUAAUGCAACUUUGUUUUAAGGCCAUUUGCUUUCCAUUUCCUUACAAUUAAGUCAUUCAAUAACAUUUUAGUAGCGUAUUUCUGUUUUGUUCAUUCAGAUUUAAAAAAUUAUAUGUUAAUCACUUAUCGGUUGUUGAUAUUUUGGUCACUUUUCCGUUAAAUCAUUAAUAGAAUGUUAAUGCAGUUUUGUUUUUAUUGGUAUAAUAAUAAAGUUAGCUCUUUAAUGUUUAUAGAUUCUAUUAAUUUAGACCUAAUUUUAAAAAAAAACAAAUUUAACCCUUAACUUUACAUAUUAUGCCAAUUGAUCUCAAUUCUUAAAAAUUUAAAAAAUAAAAAAGAUAUUUAAAAUUUGUUUCGAUAAAAAUACAUACAAAAUUAUAAAAGUUAUAAAAUACAUACAUAUAAAUAAAUGAGUAUUCAAUUCUCUCCUUUAAAGAAAAACACGAAAAAGAACUUAUAUAAUUUAUCAUUUGUUUUGUUGAAAAUGUGGUAAAUCUUAGGGAUUUUCAUUGUUGGAAGGGUGAAAAGAAAAUCUAGGGUUUAGUCUAAAUCACUCAAUAAUAACUAACAUCAUCAAAUUUUGGAUGGACAUAAUGCAUUGAAAUAAUCAAUAAUCAAAAUUGACAUCAUAAAUACAAUCAACUUCAUAAUUAAAAUAUAUCUAAAUUUAAAUAGAUAAAACUAAAAUCAGAAAUAAAUAUGAAAUUAAACAAAACACUUACGCUGUUAUAUUGUAGUUUAAGUAUCAUUAAAUAAUAUUUAUAAUUAUAAAUAAGUCAAAGUCUUUUUAAAAUACUAAUUAAUUAAUUAGUUAAUGAGUGUUCCAUGUGAUCUCAUCUUAUAUUAUAAUAUGAAUAUGGGAAUGUGCUCCUUGCCUUGAAAGGUUAAUAUUAAUUAAUAAAAAUGUGAAAAAAUUAAAACUCGCCAUGUGCCUCCAUAAUUAGAAUUUAAUAAUGCAACUUUGUUUUACGGAUUUGCUUUCCAUUUCCUUACAAUUAAGUCUUUCAAUUAUAUUUUAGCAGUGUUUUACUGUUUUGGUCCGUUUAUGAUCAAACUCACAGAAACAAAGUUAAAUUAGUUAGGGGGUUACAAUCUCCAUGCCUUCAUGGGCAAUCUCAAAGAUUUCAAGCUAUAUAUAUGUGUCACUUGUCUUGAUAAGCCACAAGGUGUCUUGGAAUAAGUAAGGCAUUUUGUAAUUUUUCUUAAUUUGUAAUCUUUUUUUCGUUUAUCUUUGAAUGUUCCACGGUAAUUGAAUAUUAAUUGGUGUUUUCAAGGAAGAAAGCUGUGCAAUAGAUCAACAAAUAUGGGACCAUCGUUAAACGACAUUGUUAUUUCCUCCGGUGAACCUGAGAAGCCUGCAGAGAACAUCACUUGCAUGGAUGCUUCAUUGUAUAAAGCUGCAGCAGUAGGCAAAAUUGAAGAAUUCAAUAAUUACCAGGGGCCUGAACUUGAGUCGCUGAAGACCCCAAACCAUGACAACGUGCUCCAUGUUAACUUGUCAACCCCUGAGCGUAUCUGGCAACGUACCAGAUUUGAUUUUGUCCUACAAAUUCUUGACAAGUGUCCAUCACUGCUACUCCAAACAAAUGCUAAAGGUCAAAUUCCACUGCAUGUUGCAGCAAGGUAUGGAUAUUCUACUAUUGUACGACAUCUAAUCAUGUUUUGUGCAAGGGUUAUUUAUAAAGAUUUAGAGAAGCUGGGAAUGGAUCAACUGAAUGCAGUGAGGGGGAUGAUCAGACAUACGGAUCAAGAAUCCAAUACGGCUUUACAUAUAGCAACACGGUAUGGCCAUGUUGAAGUGGUGCAAGCAUUGCUGGAGCAUGAAGACCCUGAUUUUCCAUAUUUUGCCAAUAUAAACCACGAAACUCCACUUUACUUAGCAGCUAGGAGAGGAAGUCGGCGCUUGCUGAGUAUAUUAUUAGAUAAAUCAAAAUCAACUGCUCAUGGUGGCCCCCACGGUAGAACAGCUUUGCAUGCAACAGCUAUGGUUAGAGAUCCAUGUAAGUUAAGUUCCAAUUUUUUUUUUUUUGUUUGAAAUAAACAGAGAAUAGAACCAUUGACUUUUUUUUUUGGGCUUGAAUUUAGGGGUUACAAGGAUAAUACUAGAGAAGAAAGGGAAUUUGACAAAGGAAACAGAUGAAAAUGGACACACCCCUCUUCACUAUGCUGCACACUUGGGUCACGAUGCUGUUGUGGAAGAGCUGUUAAAAUGGGAUAUAUCUGUUGCUUAUAUAGGUGAUAAAAAGUGGGGGAUGACACCCCUUCUUAUGGCAGCCAGGCAAGGUCUUUUUGGAACAGUAAGAAAGAUUCUGUCUUAUUGUCCAGAUUGUUGUGAAAGAGUGGACAAAAGAGGUUGGAAUUUACUUCAUUUUAUGGCGUUUAGAGACCUUUCUCGUGGAUUCCGCAUUUUAUUAAAGAAUGAUAAUGCUACCACGACUGAAUAUGGAUCAGUCAGAAAUCUAAGGGACUGGAAAGAUGCUAGUGGAAUCACACCUCAACAAGUUUUCAAUGCAUGUCAAUAUGAUAAGGAAGAGAAAAAGGUAUAUUUAUAUUUGUAUUUGUAUGCCUACGGCUAUGGUUUUAUUAAUAUUUGUGUUUUGAAUUAUGAUUAUAUAACAUAUAUAAUAUAAUGAUCUAUAAUAUAAUCGGCUAAUGUGGUAGGAACAAAUUGUGAAAUUGUUAAAAGAAAUUGUGAAUGAAGAAGUCGCGGAGAAACCAGUUUAUCCCAUCGGCUUGCCAAACAUAUCUGCAGAUAAAAACUUGGAGAAAGCAAGAGAUGCUCAUUUAGUAGUGGCAGCACUUAUAGUCACCGUCACAUUCGCAGCGGCAAUAACCGUUCCAGGUGGUUUGCAGAGUGAAAAAGGGUUAGAGCAAGGCACUCCCCUUUUGAUUCAUGAGGCAGUGUUUAAAGCAUUUGUUGUGACAAAUUCAUUGGCCUUUAUUUUCUCUGUUUCUGCCCUCACCACCCACUUUGGGGUUCUGGAUAAUCAAUUAUCAGGAUUUAAAUUUUUUCGUGAAACAGUUUUAUAUCGAACUCAGUCUGUUUCUGGGAUCCUUGGCUAUGCAACGUUGGCAAUGGUGGUUGCUUUCAGCACAGGUAGUUAUGUGGUCUUAAAACCUUCCCACGGACUUGCCAUUGUUUCGUAUCUCAUCUGCCCUGCCUUUUUACUCUGUAUUUGGGAAAUUUUGAAUCCUUUAAUGCAAAUGUAAAAUAUAAAUAUGAUAAUAUUACUUUAUCAUUGAUUACAAUGUUGUUCCAAUUCCUAAUAAAAAAUUAAUUUUUUUUUAAAAGAUAAUUUUGAGUCUACGAUAAAAAUUAAAAAAAAAUGUUGUUUACAUAGCAUCCUCGCGACGCUCAAAAUCGGCACCUUAUUAAAUAUGUUUUGUGUACCUUGUUAAAUUAAAAUUCAUAUCUAGGUACUUAAUUAUGAUCCAAAUUUUUGAUAAAUUAAAAGCAAAGAUAUUAAAUGAGUGAAUCGGUUAUUUAAUAGCAAAACAAAAGUAAGGAUCAAGAUGUAGCAUAUUCAAAAUUCAAGGGCCUUUCUUGAGGUUUUUCAUUUUAUAUUUUUUAUCAUUAUAAAAGAUAAAAAAGUUAUAAAUUUUGAAGUAAAUGGGCCCACAGUCCAACAUUUAUUACACAUAUGAACAGAUAAGAAAACAUUUGGGCCCAAAUCGAAUAUUAUCCCAAAGUUCAUAAACAUUUGACUUUAAAAAUUGUGAAAUUAAAUUCAAAACUAAUAAAUAUUAACAAAAAUUGGAUCCCAUAUCCACAAAUUAAAACUCCAAUUCUUGUUACUUACGGAUCCUGGACGAAAUUCGGUGUUUACAAAAGGUAUCAAGUGGCGGAGGAACUAGUUUGUCCCAUUUGCUUGCCAACUAUCUCUGCAAAAAGCUUGGAGAAGAAGGGAAAUGCUCAUUUAGUAGUGGCAGCACUUAUUGCCACCUUUGCAUUCGCAGCGGCAAUAACUGUUCUUGGUGGUUUGCAAAGUGACAAAAGGUCAAAGCAAGGCACUCCCCUUUUCAUUCAUGAGGCAGCCUUCAAAGCAUUUUAUUGUAACAAAUGCAUUGGCCUUUUUAUACUCCGUUUCUACCCUCACCAUCCACUUUGGGUUAUGGAUAAUAUAUUAUCAAGAUAUAAUUUUUGGCAUCGAACAGUUUCAAAUCGAACUCGAUUUGUUUCUGGGAUCCUUGGGCAUGCAAUGAUUGCAAUGGUGAUUGCUUUCAGCACAGGUAGUUAUGUGGUUUUAAAAUCUUCCCACGGACUUGUCAUCGUUUCAUAUCUGAUCGGCCCUGCCUUUUUCUUUGGUGUGUGGCUAAUUUUGCAUGCUUCCUUAUAUAUAUAAAAUAUAAAUGUGACAAUAUACUUUAUCAUCGAUUACAAUAUUCUUCCAAUUUCUAGUUCGAAUGUUACCUCUUUGAAUAAACAUUACUUCAAUUUUUUUUUUUGAGAUAUGUCUAUCUUAUUAAAAUUAUGAAAAAGGUCAAAAAAAAAUCACAAUUUGUGUAAAGUAAGAUUUACUAAAUAUCAAAGAAUAGUAAAGAUAUAUUGUAAUUAAUUUUCGGUUAUAAUUAAAAAUUAAUUUGACAAAUAAUUGAAAAAUAUGAGGAUUCUAGGUUUAAGAAAAACAUGAAAUGUUAUUUAAAAAUGAAAAGUGGCGAUUAAAUUUUUUGGCUAGGUGUGAUCAAACACAUUUAAAGUCAUCUUCUAAAAACAAAAUUUUGAAAAUUCUUUUUUAAAAAGAUAAUUUUGGGUCUACCAUAGAAAUUCAGAGAAAAUUAUUUAGGUUAGGGAAUUGGUUACGGAAGAUUUUGGGUCUAUCUUGUUAAAUAUAUGUUGUUUACAUUCGUAAAUUAAAAUUCAUAUCUCUGUAUUUAAUUGUAACACUCCAAAAUUGGGGCGAGGAGCAGUAAGGUUUGUUGGUUUGGGGUUAGUGGUUCGUAAGUCCUAAGUUAAUUUUUGUAUUUUAAAAAUAAAAUGAGUCUCUUGAUUUAGUGGUAAAAAAUUAGUUUACCUUUAGAUCUUGUGUUCAAAUUCUCGUGAGAGCUUUGAGGAAGUUAAUUUUUGGUUUUUAAAUUUUGUUAAAUUCUAUCACGUUUGGAUUCAAUUUUCAAUACUUCACUAAGUGAUGUAUGUAUUUGGACUAUAUGGACUUUUGUUAUGGUCCUUUUAUGAUAUUACUAAUAAUUUCUUGAUUGAGAAAAAAAAAUAUAUUACUUAUGACAUGUGGCUUCCCUUGUACCAUGUUAAAUAAUCUCUCGUGUUUGCAAGAUUUUCUAUUAUGUUCGUAUAUCAAGUGUUUAUGAAUGAAGUCAAAAAAUUUUUGUUGGGAGUCUGAAGUAAUAAUUUUAGAGGGGAAAUAAUUUUAAAUAAAUUUAAAAUUAAUUUAUCUCGUGUUUAGUUUAAUGUAUUCUUUAUCUAUAUCACUAUUUAAGAGUCAAUUCUAUUUUGAUAGCGAAGAUAAGUUAUUUUCCCUUAUUGGACAUUAGACUACAUGAUAUCCUUAUAUGAAUCACUUACUUAUCAUGUUUCCAUGAGUUAAUGGACUAUUCAUUUAAAUUACAACUAAUUGAAAUUAUCUUUUGCAUCCAAAACAAUAUUUGUGAUGCAACUUCCGAUAAAUUUAACGUAAGUAACUAAUGAGCUAAUAUUUACACAUACUAUUAGUUUACAUGUUGGUUUGAAUCCAUAAAAAUGUAAAUUUAUAUAAAUGUAAAAAAAAAUUCGACAGUUUUUCAAAUAUUAAAUCUCGUACAUUCGUUUGAAUCAUAAAAAAUAUACACUUUCUAUUUUAUUAUAGAAAAAAAAGUAUAUACCAUGUUUUUCAUGUUUUCAAAAUUUUAAUUUUAUUUAUCAAAUGUGUUUUUCAAUUUGAGAAAAAAAUAAAAAUUAGAAAAUGAAAUAUUUCUUUGAAAAUGAUAAUAGGAAAUAAAAAAAAAUAUUGUAAGGAACCGAAGGAAGCUUACCCUUUUUUUUUGGAUUAAUAUACCAUUUGGUAUUUAAAUUUGGUUCUAAUGUUCAAUUUAAUACUCAAACCAAAUGACUUCAUAUAGCUUAAUAAAUAUUUUACAUGUGUACUAUGGUAAAAAAAAACAUAAGUAUUUUAAUUGAGAUAAAAAAAAUGGGUAUUAAAAGAAACAUUGAAGCUAAAUUUAAGCAUUUAAUUAUGACAAAAGGAAAUUCAAGCAUUGAAUUGACAAUAUUUGGGUACCAAAUUAAACAUUGAAGCCAAACUUAUGUACCAAUUUGGAAAAAAAAAAUCUCGAGUACAUUAACGUUCUUCUGCUAUUAAAUCUUCUCAUUGAAUAAAGCAAAAGCUAUGAUUUGCAAAGAGAAUAAAUGGUGUGUAGGAAAAAUGUAGGGAAAGAAGAAUAAAGGGGAAAUUGUAGCUCCAUCUACUUGGACCAAAUUUUUUAUUAUAUUGAUUCCUUUUAAUGAAAAAUAAUUGUACUCAGGCGCAAAAGGUGGAAAAAAAAUUUUAGAGGGUCGAAAUUAAAUUUUAAUUUUUAUAAUAAUAAAAAUGUAAUUUUAACAUUUGAAUAGCCUAUAUAUUUAUAAUGUUUAAAAGAUUAAAUCAAAUUUUUAUCAUUUUAGGGGGGCCAAAGUGUAAUUUUAUCUUUACUAAUUUAAAUUUUUUUACUUGUACUACGAGUUGUAUUGCAUUUUGCCCCAUUUAAUUUAUAAAAAAAAAGUAAAUUAGUCAUUGUAUACUAGAUCAAAGAUCAAGUUGGUCCUUCUGAUAAACAUUAGCCCAUGUACAUUAGAAUGAGGGACACGUUGCAUGUCAUGUUUAACUAUCUAACUAUUCUGUUUGUUAUGCCCGUUUUAUUGAUAGAAAAGGAUGAAACUUUUAAUAGAAAUGAUCAGUUUACUUUUUUUAUCUAAUAAACAAUGACUAAUUUACUCAUUUUUUAAAAAGAAAAGGUAAGAUACAAUCUAAACCCUAAACCUUCAUAGUACUUUUACCUUAAUUAAAGCUCAUAGCAAGAAUAGCAUUGUUGAGGAUUAUGCUACGCGAAUGUGUUAAGGAAGAAAUUGAAAAAUGUAACGGUAGUUCUUUACGCAACACUAAAGUGUUCAAGUAAGGAAUUAUAUAUAGUUGUCACACUUGAAUGAAAGAUAUUAUAGGCAAGCAACAAAUAUGUAAGGCAUUUGGUAAAUUUCUGAAUUUGUAGUACCUUUUUUUUUUCCUUGAGCUUGGAAUGUUCCUAGCUAAUUAAUUACAUUUUGUUUGGUGUUAUCUAGGACGAAAGCUGUGCAAUAGAUCAACAAAAAUGGAACCAUCGACAAACAUCGCGCUUAUAUCCUCCGGUGAACCUGAGGAGCCUGAAGAGAACAUCACUUACAUGGAUGCUUUGUUGUACAAGGCAGCAGCAGAAGGCAUAAUUGAAGAAUUCAAUAAUCACCCAGAGCUUCAACUUGAGUCGCUAAAGACCCCAAACCAUGACAACCUGCUCCAUGUUAACUUGGCAACCCAGGAGAGUGCUGUUGACAUUGUGUACUCAUUAUUCAUAUUAUUCCCCGAAGGAUAUGUAUUAUUCCAUCAGUAUUUGAGUAUUUUCAUUAGUAUGAUAAAAAGAGAAAAGAGAUCAGAUUUUUUCGAGCAAAUUCUCAGCAAGUGUCCGUCACUGCUACUCCAAACGAAUGCUAAAGGUCAAACUCCUUUGCACGUUGCAGCAAGGUUUGGACAUUCUGCUAUUGUGAAACUACUAAUCAAGUCUUGUGCAAAAGCUAGAGAUGGAGAUUUAGAGAAGCUGGGAAUGGAUCAAGUAAAUGCAGUGAGGGAGAUGUUGAGGAUUACGGAUCAGGAAUCGAACACGGCUUUGCAUGAAGCAGCAGGGUGUGGCAAUGUUGAAGUGGUGAAAGCAUUGUUGGAGUUUGAAGACCCUGAUUUUCCGUAUUCUGCCAACAAAAAACAGGAGACUCCACUUUACAUAGCAGCUAGGAGGAGAGGAUCUGGGCGCUUGUUGACU